CAAAUAUUACUUCUAGUUACUUAACCAACUAAAUUAGCUUCAAACUUCUGUAAACUAAGCAUAUCAACUCAAACAAGCAACCAACAGAAUAUAAAUAUUAUUCUAGUGAUUUAAAUGCAUGGAUUAAACCAUUAAUUCAAGUUGAAAAAUCACAAAUAUUGUAAUGGCACCAUGAAAAUGUUGUUGUGGCUUGCCUUAGUGCAGAUGAGGUUCACAAUACUCCUGGUGAUCCUCAAGACAAGCUUCACUUUCUCAAAACAAUUAUAAACACAAAAAGAAAACAUCAAGAACCCUUCUGAAAUUCACCAGAAAAUCUAGACAGCAGAGAAAAAUCUCAUUUUUGGUGAGCUGCUAGAUUUCUUCAUAAAGAACACAAUGCAAAAAGAAUCAAUUCAUUUGGACUUAUGGUUAAAAAGUUUUGGCUGUUUGAAGCUCUCUGGAUAAAAUUGAAUUUUGAAUUUAAAUAAAUAGAACUGGGGGGUGACGUCGAAGGCGUAAACCUCGCGGGUGCCACCACUCAUACCGCUUUGGGCGCGUACAGAGUGGCUGACUAGCGGACCCCGCUAGUCAGGUGAGAGGGAGGGGAGAGGGAAACAGAGGGUGGCGAGGCUCCGCCGGAGCACAUGCCGGCGAUGAGGGCUCCUUGGCCAGAACUGGAGGGAGGGAUCGAAAGAGGAGACGGAGGCACACCUGCCCGUACCCGUAGGUUAGCUAGGGGUGGUCGGACGGCGUCGGAAACGGCCUCUCCAGCUGCGACAGAAAGCAGAGGUCGCCGGAGUUGGAGACGACGGCGACUAGAGGCAGCACCGGGGGCUCCAACCGGGUGGAACAGCACCACCGAGGCACGGCGGAGGCCCUGGAAGGGUGGCCCAAGCCUCAGAGGGGCUGGAGCUGCGGAGACGACCCAAGGGGAUCGCCGGCGAGCUCGAGCUCGGGGACGGCGGCCUGCCCGGUCGGGCUACGGCUUUCUACGAGUUUGUGGAGUGUGUGUGAGGAGUGGAUGAUGCUCGAGGAGGCUGGGGAGGGCUCUAUUUAUAGCCGAGCGAUGAGAGGGGCUCGGGCUCCACCGGAGGACACCUGGACACGGCGCCCGGCAACAAACGACAUCAGUGAGCGAGGGGGAAGGCGACGCAGCUCACGCGGGCACUGUGGGCGAGCGGAGACGAGCACAUGAGCGAGGGGGUGGCGACAAACACAGUGCGCAGCGCACUGUUGGGUUGGCCGGACCGCGCCCGUGCUCGCUGCGGCGAGCUCCGGUGUCGGCGAGCUCCAGGAGAGAGUUAUGAGGGCCGGGAGGAUGAUCGGGCCGAAGUUUGGCAAGGUUGGCAAGCGGGGAAGCGAUCACGCGAGCAACAGAGGCGCGGGCGCGACGCAGAGCGCGUCGGCCAUAUGCCAGCACGCCUGGACGAACGCGGUCACCGCGUGAACUCUGACCUCAAGCUGAGCUAAGCCUAAACUUCAUGUCUGGCGUGUAGUCUGUGGUAGAUUGAGAGGUUACCACACUUUGGUUUGAGCUCAGGCACAGUAACAUGGAUUUCAACUUCCUAGUAAGUUUCUGGACAGUAACUUUGAGAGCUUAUUGUGGUCAAAAUACUGGGAGUUGGGAGCUAGGCUUUGGAGGUUAGCAAUCAUCUACUAAGGUGAUGAUGCACAAGAAAAUUCAGCCACAAUUGAGCAAGUAAUUAAAAUGGUAGUUGCUGUAGAAACUACCAUUUCUAUCCAGAACAGAAAAUAUUUUCUGUAGCAAAAAUAUUCCAAAAAGUGAUGAAAUAUUUUUGCUCCGGAAGGUGCCCUAGGGUUCAAAGAAUAUUUGGGAAUUUUCUCAGAUUUUUGUGGGCAAGAAAAAUUGGGGUUGCUUUGGACACAAGGGGCUAGUUAGGGUUUUAGAGAGAAAAUGAAUAUUUUUCAUUAGAGAAAAAUAUUCAUAAUAUUGUUUUGAGAUGGAUCAGAGAAGAAAUGAUGGCUUAGGGAGAGAAAUAAGUCACUUGGGUGAAAGUCAAGGGGGUACCCCAAGUGUUUAAGUCCAUCUGAAGUGAUUCAAAAUUUCAAAUUCAAAUCCAAACCAACUGAAAAUCAGGCAAAGAGAAGAGGGCAAAAACCAGGCUGUCACAGGUGGAGGGCGCGCCCAGGGGGGUAGCCCCCCCAAAUAGUCCUAUUUUUCCUCCAUGUCGAUAAGGAGCUAAAAGAUCGACGACCUUAAUACCUGUUUCAAAGAUGGAUAAUUUCGCGGUUAUAUAGAUAUUUUCUAUACUAGGGUCUUUACGCUCGGUAUAAGAGGGUUAACCGAACUCACGGAGUUUUUUGAUAAGGGUGUUAUUGAUGGAAUUACCAAGGCAAUACCGACGGUGUCCGCUUGACCUUUUCUAAGCGGGGACAGAAUGAAACGACCAUAAUAAAGGCGCUUACUAUCUACUCUUGAUUCAACACACGUCCAUUGUAGUGUUUGAGUGGAUCUUGCUCGGUUUUUUGGGGUUGAUAGUGGAAAAGUCGACAGAUAAGUCACCCUUACUGUCCCUUUACAGAACGGGGCGCGCCCCCGACCUUGUGGGCCCCUUGUAGACCCCCUGACCUAGAUCUCCCUCCUAUAUAUACUCUUAUACCCCAAAACAUCCAGGGGAGCAACGAAACCACUUUUCCACCGCCGCAACCUUCUGUACCCGUGAGAUCCCAUCUUGGGGCCUUUUCUAGCAUCCUGCCGGAGGGGGAUUCGAUUCACCCACCAUAAUAAAUUCUAUCUUGAGAGAAGCCUCUAGUGAAACCUAUGGCCCCCCGGUCUAUUUUACAACAUAUUAGUUUCCCGUCAACUUGCCAAUUUCUGUCGCCGUUCCUUUACUUUACAAUCUUUUACUUUUCGUUCCAUAAACCAAAAAUACCAAAAAUAUUACUUUACCGUUUAUCCAUCUCUAUCAGAUCUCACUUUGCGAAUAACCGUGAAGGGAUUGACAACCCCUUUGUCGCGUUGGUUGCAAGUUGGUGUUUGUUUGUGUAGGUAUUCGGUGGCUUGUCGCGUUGUCUCCUACUGGAUUGAUACCUUGGUUCUCAAAAAUGAGGGAAAUACUUACGCUACUUUGCUGCAUCACCCUUUCCUCUUCAAGGGAAAAACUAACGUAAGCUCAAGAGGUAGCAGCAAGCAAAUAGAAGGCACAUGGAAACACGAACAAAAAGACAUGCGGAAAGAAGGCCAAUAAAAAGGCAAAUCUUUUCGAAAAUUGUUCUAGAAGUGGGGGAUAGGAAAACGAGAGGCGAAUGGCGAAUAAUGUAAUGCAAGAGAUGAGAGUUUAUGAUGGGUACUUGGUAUGUCUUGACUUGGCGUAGAUCUCCCCGGCAACGGCGCCAAAAAUUCUUCCUGCUACUUCUUAAGCUUGCGUUGCUUUUCCCUUGAAGAGGAAAGGGUGAUGCAGCAAAGUAGAGAUAAGUAUUUCCCUCAGUUUGAGAACCAAGGUAUCAAUCCAGUAGGAGACAACGCACAAAUCACCGAAUACCUGCACAAACAAUCAAACAAACUUGCACCCAACGCGAUAAAGGGGUUGUCAAUCCCUUCACGGUUACUUGCAAAAGUGAGAUCUGAUAGAGAUAGAUAAAUGAUAAAGUAAAUAUUUUUGGUAUUUUUGGUUUAUAGAUCGAAAAGUAAAAGAUUGCAAAAAGAGUAGAUCAGAAACUAAUAUUGUAGAUCGGAAACUUAUAUGAUGGAAAAUAGACCCGGGCAUAGGUUUCACUAGAGGCUUCUCUCAAGAUAGCAAAUAAUAUGGUGGGUGAAGAAAUUACUGCCGAGCAAUUGAUAGAAAAGCGCAAAGUUAUGACGAUAUCUAAGGCAAUGAUCAUGAAUAUAGGCAUCACGUUCGUGUCAAGUAGACCGAAACGAUUCUGCAUCUACUACUAUUACUCCACACAUCGACCGCUAUCGAGCAUGCAUCUAGAGUAUUAAGUUCAUGAAGAACAGAGUAACGCAUUAAGUAAGAUGACAUGAUGUAGAGGAAUUAACUCAAGCAAUAUGAUGAAACCCCCAUCUUUUUAUCCUCGAUGGCAACAAUACAAUACGUGCCUUGCUGCCCUACUGUCAUUGGGAAAGGACACCUAAAGAUUGAACCCAAAGCUAAGCACUUCUCCCAGUGCAAGAAAAACCAAUCUAGUUGGCCAAACCAAACCGAUAGUUCGAAGAGAAUUACAAAGAUAUCAAAUCAUGCAUAAAAGAAUUCAGAGAAGAUUCAAUUAAUAUUCAUAGAUAAGCUGAUCAUAAAUCCACAAUUCAUCGGAUCUUGGCAAACACAUCGCAAAAAAGUAUUACAUCGAAUAGAUCUCCAAGAACAUCGAGGAGAACAUGGUAUUGAGAAUCAAAGAGAGAGAAGAAGCCAUCUAGCUACUAGCUAUGCACCUGUAGGUCUGUGGUAAACUACUCACGCUUCAUCGGAAGGGCAAUAGAGUUGAUGUAGAAGCCCUCCGUGAUCAAAUCCCCCUCCGGUAGGGUGCCGGAAAAGGUCCCUAGAUGGGAUCUCAUGGGUACAGAAGGUUGCGGCAGCGGAAAAGUGUUUUUGUGGAUGCCUCUGGUGGUUUGGGGAUAUAUGGGAAUAUAUAGGCGAAAGAAUUAGGUCAGGAAGUGCACGAGGGUCCCACAAGGGUGGGGGGCGCACCCUACGUCCUUGUGGCCGCCUCGUGGCUCCUCCGACUUCAUCUCCAAGUAUCAUGGUUGUCUUCUGGUCCAAGAAAAAUCAUUGCGAAAGUUUAUUCCGUUUGGACUCCGUUUUGUAUUCCUUUUCUGCGAAACUCAAAAACAGGGAAAAACAGGAACUGGCACUGGGCUCUAGGUUAAUAGGUUAGUCCCAAAAAUAAUAUAAAAUAGCAUAUUAAUGCAUAUAAAACAUCCAAAACAGGUAAUAUAAUAGCAUGGAACAAUCAAAAAUUAUAGAUACGUUGGAGACGUAUCAGUGAUCGUGCUCAUCUCGAUGGCAUUAGCAGAACCCUGGCACUAGCGAUGGGCAUCUAAAAUCGACCUGCCAAAUUUACUAUAAAUACGGAAACCACACACUUCGUCACCACCAUACGGUUCAAUCAAGCCUACCAUUCUGAGCCACCAAGCGGUGGCAACUCGUCUUCCGUCGGUUACAGCAUUGACAGUAUGAUAAUAUAGAGGCAACCAACCUGACAAGCGACCCCGGCCGUCUCAUGAUGCAUGAGAGGUUCUCCAGCAAGGACAAGGUCUGAAGUUAUCUUCGAUGUUUCCUAAAAAAAUAGAGGCACAAUUGUCUUAUUCAAUAGUCUGAAGUUAUCUUCGAGUCCAUCACAAUUCAAAGAAAAUCUCUUGCUCCUUAGCAUAAGAGUCAUCUGUGUGUGAUUUAUAAUAUGCUAGUUAACCAAGAGUCAUACACAUUCUUUUAAUGAUUCCACACAUGCAAUAUCUCAAGUUAUGGUUGAGUCCAUCGCCAAUCAAAUGAAUCCAUUGCUUGUUCGCAAGAGUCAUCAGAGUGUGGUUUAUAUGCUACUUAGCCAAGACUCAUAAAUUUUCUUUCAGUGAUUAUAUACAUGCAACAUCUUCACCUCUUGAACUAGCACAAUGAUGUUUGGGGGCCUGCUCUCACAUCUAUAGGAGGUAUUAAACAUUACGUAAAUUUCUCAAGGAUUUCAGUCGCUAUACAUGGACUAUUUGCUCAAGGAAAGAAUGGCGUUGAGCAAUGAGCAUGCCUUUUACAAUUUCCAAGCACAUGUCGAGAAAUACCUCAACACCAAAAUUCGCUCAAUUCGUUCAAAGUAGGGUGGAGAAUAUCAUAAGUUGCAUCAACACUUCCAAUAAUGUGGGAUCACACACAUUGUCUCGUUCCCUCACCCUUUGCUCAAAACGCCAUUUUCAAAAGCAAGCACUGGAACAUUGUUGAGGUUGGACUUGCCCUCCUUCCUCAUGCCUUUCUCUUGUUUUUUUGGGGUGAAGCUUUCCCUUAUGGCAUGCUACCUAAUGAUUCGACCCAACAAACUUCUGCAAAACAACAACACAUUAUACAAUUUACUUCUAUUAAGUAUGUUAGCUUCUUACUUUUGCAGCAUAGUGACAAUAUCAUACGAAGGGAGAGUCUAUGAUUGAUCGUGAACAAGAAAACGUUGCAAGUGCAUACCCGCAAACCAUUUCAAGGAAAGAUGCGUAGAUAUGCCAAAACAGUAAUUAGGUGGGCUAAAUCAUCCUAACAGGAAGCGUCCAAUCGAUCAGGUGAUUAUUAAUGUUGGUACUUCUCCCACAAGUCUUCUAAAUAAAAAGAGAUGUACAAUAUGAUCAUAUACCCUUCGUGAAUACAUGUGAAGCUCCUAGUGAUGAUACUAAUUUGAAGUGUCUGGAAGAUUUGAAGCUUAUUUUCUUCUUAGCGUGUGGCCCAUCAUCGAGGAAACAAACUUCAAAUCUUUCUAACCCUUCAAAUUAGUAGCAUCACUGGGAGUGUUGUUUGUAUUGAUGAGAUAUACAAUCAAAUUCAUACAUUUGUUUUUCUUUAUAAAACAUUUAGGAGAAUACCAACAUUUUUAGUUGGUGCAUGAUCGAUUAACGCUUCUCGUUCAGUCUCCACAUUGUUUCUUGAGAGUAGUCACAGGAAAGCACUUAGGCCCUGUACAACGUAGGUGCUUAAGUUGGUGGUUCAAUAAGAAAACCCUUGUGUUGCCAGCCUGCUUAGCACAGGUGCUUAGGAUGAGGCACAUAAGCAAACUUUGGCUCCCGGUGCUAGCCGGUGCUUGCCCUUCCAUGAAACUAUAGUUAACUCGGGUCAACCUUAAUUAAAGCAACUUAGGCACCCGUAUGAAGCACCUAGCGUCGUAAGGUACAAAAUUUCUGAGAUACAACUUUAGUCUCUCUCUCUCUUUCUCUUUAAGCAUCCGUGCAUGAACCCCCGGCAUUAUACAAGGCCUUACAUUGGUAGGCGGUUCAUGAUUAUUUAGAGGCUUUCGGUCAUAUGAUAUUUUUCAUGUUUUGGAAAAAGCAAAACAUACAUGUUCAAUGGAGGUAACUAUUAUAGGUGGUGAAGAACAAACAACACACGUGUUGUUCCAUCACUAGAAGAAAAAUGUUUCAAGCGUCGUUGAUUCUAAAAUAAGAAUAAUAUUAAGGCCGUCUAGAAUUUUGCUUUUGCUCUCCUCAUGAAUCCCCGGAGCAGCAACAUAGCAAGUACCAAAACACUCACUAGUGUGAUUAAGGAUCAUUACCAAGUCUGAAUCUUGUUUUUAGCAAACCUCUUAAAUUAAGCAAUACUCUCGUUUGUACUACACUAAUUUUUUCAGGACAUAACAUGUUAUUGGACAUAUUUGAAGGCUCCACCUCAUAUAUGUGUGUGUUUAACACUAUUUUUUGUUCAUUCCAAUCAUUAAUGUCCCAUCAUAUACCUAUAUAAUUUCACCCCCAGGCGAACAGGGAUGGCAAGACAUGCUUUCAUGUUAUGGUAAGCUACACAUCAUGUUAUGGUAAGCUACUCAUUAACCCAGAAAUUCUCUAGUGUCCAUAAAUGCAUUGGUAGAGUAAGAUGCCCAACUUCAUCUUCGACUGCUAACGAGUUUGAAAAGGCUGGAUAUGCAUAAUGUAUAGACAACAGAUUCAAAAUUUUAUUAUUUUGCUAAUAUGAAUACUUAGUUAGAAUAGAUGAAGUAAAGAAUAGUGGCAAUAACACUCACCUAGAUACUUACUUCAUUCAUGCCCAACCCUAAUUGGUAGAAAUAUCCGAAGCUCCCUAUGAAUUGAUGGAAGAACUCAUCAUUUAGAAAGAUUAUUUCUAUUUGAUCAAGGUAAAUUUCAAUGAGAUUGAAGGAACACUUCUAGUCUGGGUCAUGAAGAACGCUCCUACAUCCAUCGUCGGAGAAGAACUAAAGCAUCUUUAACAUCAAAUGUGUUUGAUAUAUGCGCCGAUCUAUCUAGAUAUCACAGUCCAAUACGGCGACCGACUAUCAUGUAAAAAUAAUAGAAAAGUAUGCACAUGACCGGACUAAUUAUCAUGUUCACUAUUGUAGUACAAAACGUAUGUGGAGUCAGCUCGAGGUGUUAGCACGUCAUAGAAAGCCCGCAACAAAGUCACUAUCUAUAUUCGUGAUGCUCAGCGUGUAUUGCAUUAAUAGCUCACACUAAAUGAAGAGUGUUGCCAUAAAAUGGCAAGUGGUGAAAGUAUAAGGAUUCAUUGUGCGAAUUGGAAGAACCCCCCUGGAAAACUUACAUAAUGAGAUGAAAGGAAAAGAAAUAAAAAGGACAAGUGCAUCAUUCAUGAUGGUUGGUAAAGGCAUAACUAUUGUAUCAAGGAGACCCUUAUCAUAUACUCCUUUUUUUUCUAAAUCCACAUGUAGUUUCAGCAACACAUCUUGGUAUGUACGUACAAUCUGAAGAACAAAUUAAAGUCCCAUUUGCAUGUUUAUAAAUACUUACUUGUUGAAUCACCCCGAUGAGCUCUUUCGGCCCCUGGUUAUUGGCCAAGGAGGAUUUACCACAUAAAGAUCAUCUUUGAUGUCGUUCUUCAGGCUAAAAUGGUAUCUACCUUGGUGUACCACAUCAAAGAGGGUGGGGAGUUUGCUACAUCACCAAAUCAUAGCCAUGAUACCAACUAGUUGAAUUUGUCACCUUUGGAUGCACAUCAUUGAUUUAUGGAUUGGAUCUUCGCCUUUGUUUCUGGAUCCACUAUCUUCCACUAUGACCACCUCUUUAUUGUUUGGGAUCAGUUAAAUUUUAUCAAAUGUCCCCUUCUCAUCGCCCUUAAACGACGCAAGGGUUACACGAUGGUGGGUUCUCAUAGUUUCACGCCAAACAAGUUAGGAUGUGUAGAGGCGGUGCAGUGGACAUGUGCAAAUCUCACCCGAGAGGCACAUAGAGUACGUGAGGCAUGCAAUGUAUCUAAAGGAUGAAUUUACAUGCCAGGAAGGGCGUCCCAUGAAUGCCUUGCCUGAGGCAUCGAUGUUCCCCAUGCAAUAGUGUGGGCCCUAAGCCGACGUGUUGGCAAUUUCCUUGCAUGGAUGUUGAUGUCAAGGCCCUUAUGCCUCCUCUUCCUACCACCCCUUUUAUUUCUUAAUUUGCAUCAAUGUUCGGCAACAUGACUUAGUAUAUGCAUACAAUAUAAAAAGCAAAAUUAAUGAAUAUAAUUUUGAGGUCCCUCUCGCUAGCAAUUAUUUUACCUUGGUGCACCACCCCAAAGUGGGUGGGAGUUGGCGCUUUAUCACCUAGUAUAUCACAUCUAGGAUACCAACCAGUCGGAUCUCUCACCUUUGGAUGCGCAUCGCCGUUUGUGGACCAGAUCUUCAUCAUUUUCUUUAGAUCCAUUGUCUUCCGCCAUGAACAUUUAUUUAGGAUCCCAUAACUUCAAUGGAGGGAAGAACACAUGAUGAUAGGUUGUGGAGGUUUAGCAGUAUCAAUGCGAAACGAAUUAGGGUGCACAUCGGAGGUGAAGUGGAUGUGUCCAGACCUCACCCAAGAGGAACAUGGAGCAAGGCCAGAUCUAAAGUGGUGACGCUCAUGGGAGGGCGCUAUGGAUGAUGGUGGAAGCGAAGGAGAAAGGAGGGUUGGCGAGGAAGAGGGGUGGCAAUGGCAGCAGGGAAGGGGUGGAAUGAUGAGAAGAAUGACUAUUAGGGUUGAGUUUAUAUAGAAGUGGGGUUUGAGAGGAAAGAGCCAUCACCGUUUGAUAUGGAUUCGAUUGUGCUAAUUUCUUUAAUAUAAAGCUGGAAAAAAAUUGAGUGCCACGUAGUAACUCCUAUUUAAUAGACAUGGUAUUUCCCAACUAAAGUACAAUCUCCACAAUAAACCUCUUACUCCCUCUGUUCCUUUAUAUAAGGUGUAUUACCACUAUGAAAGGAACAAACAUUAUUAUUUUCUUGCCAAUAGGAGUAUUACCACUAUGAAAGGAACAAACACUGGUCCUUUGUUUUAGAAAAAAUGUCUCUAGCACCCCACAUGGUUGUUCAAUAAAUUUUGACAUUGGAGUUUUGAUGUUAAAUAAAACCUCCCACAUACCACACCAAUGCCAAAUGAUAUACUCCUAAGUCACAAGUAUAUGUUGGCAAUCCUCCGCCAACAACAUGCUUGUCCUCUUGCCAUCCUCCAUCUCCUUGUCCCUAAAUCAAUUGUUGUUGUCGGCUCCCAUGGCACCCAUGCUCUUCCAGAAUCUUUGCCGCUGCCUAUCCACUCAACCUAAAAAAACAAAAAAUAAUGAAUACAUACAAUCUAAAAAUCAAAAUUAAUAAAUAACCUUUUUUUAGUUCCCGAUAGCUAACAAUUAUUUUACCUUGGUGCACCACCCCAAAGUGGGUGGGAGAUAGUGCUCCAUCACCUGGUAUAUCACAUCUAGGAUACCAACUAGUUGAAUCUCACUUAUGGAUGUGUGUCACCAUUUGUGGACCAGAUCUUCAUCCUCUUCUUUAGAUCCAUCGUUUUCCGCCAUGAACACUUAUUUAGGAUCACAUAACUUCAAUGGAGGGAAGAACCCAUGAUGGUGGGAUCUGAAGGUUUAGCCAUCUCCAUGCGAAAUGAUUUAGGGUGCAUAUAGGAGGUGCAGUGGGUGCGUGCAAACCUCACCAAGAAGAACAUGAAGUAGGGAAGGCAAGGCGAGAUCAAAAGUGGCGGCGUUCGUGGGUGGGAGGUAUGGAUGAUGGUGGAAGCGAGGGGGAAAAUAGGGUUGCCGAGGAAGCGGGAUCGCGGCGGCAGCGGCGAGGGAGGGGAGAGGGAGGGUGGAAUGAUGAGAAGAAUGGCUAUUAGGGUUGAGUUUAUAUAGAAGUGGGGUUUGGGAGGAAAGGAGCACCACUAUUUGGUAUGGAUUUGAUGGUGCUGGUUUACUUUUACAUAAAUCUGCAAAAAAAUACUAUUUGAGUGGUACAUAGUAACUCCUAUAUAAUAGACAAGAUAUGUCCUGAUUAAAGUGCAAUAACCACAAUAAACCUCUUAUUUCACAAGCAAAAAAAGUGUUUUUUCAGUUUCGUAAAAAACAAUUUCUUUCUUUCUUGUGAAUACCGCUACGAAAGGAACAAACAUUGGUCCUUUGUUUUAGAAAAGGACGCGACUAACUUCCAGUCAACUGGAAGUUAGCGAUAGGUGCGGACGACUAGUUCCUACAUGAUCGUUAUCAUCACACGCUCGCUUCCACUGGUUUUUUUCCUUCUCUCAAAAACCGUUGAUGGAAACAAUAAAUCGCUAGUGGUUUUUUUUUGUUUUUUCGCUGCAUAAUACGAGAAUAAAAUAAAAGUGCUUGAAAGAGGAUUCGUACCCAGGUCUAUGCAAUAGCUAUUGAGCCCAAUAGGCAACUAAGCCACCUUUAGUUGUUGUCUAUUGUAGAUAAACAAUGUUAAUUGGACCUUUCUUAUUUCCGCCAUAUCAGAAAAAAAUGAUAAACUUUGGCUUGGUAACUUUGGCAUGACCAGCGUCAUAACUAUGGUAUGAGCAACAUGGUAACUAUAUCAUGAUAGGGUUGGUAACUACAGUACGAGAAGGUUAAAGCAUGAUAACUUUAGCAUGGCGAAGUAUGAUAAUUUAGCACAGAAAUUACCGGUGAAUGUUUCAAAAACAUUUUUCCCUUGGAUGAAAGAUACCAUGGUGUUUAAACGUAAGAUAUUAGGUCUGUCAUGCAUAAAAUUGUCAUAAACUUACAUAGAAGUUACCGGAGGAGUUAUGUUUCACCGUUUUUUCCUUGAAGUCAAAGUUAACAUGGUGGUUGAACGUAAGUUAUGAGGUCCUAGAAAGUUACCAUGGGGUGUACAUAAGUUAUCAUGUCUUCAGUAUGUAAAUUAUCAUGUCAUUUGCACAGAAGUUACCAUGAUAUGUUUCAACAACUCCCCACCCCCACCCCGGUCGCCAAAGUUUGUAGAACCGGGGUGUACACAAGUUAUCAGGUCUGCGGUGUGUGAGUUACCAUGUUAUUCACACAAAAGUUACCGAGAGGAUAUUNNNNNNNNNNNNNNNNNNNNNNNNNNNNNNNNNNNNNNNNNNNNNNNNNNNNNNNNNNNNNNNNNNNNNNNNNNNNNNNNNNNNNNNNNNNNNNNNNNNNNNNNNNNNNNNNNNNNNNNNNNNNNNNNNNNNNNNNNNNNNNNNNNNNNNNNNNNNNNNNNNNNNNNNNNNNNNNNNNNNNNNNNNNNNNNNNNNNNNNNNNNNNNNNNNNNNNNNNNNNNNNNNNNNNNNNNNNNNNNNNNNNNNNNNNNNNNNNNNNNNNNNNNNNNNNNNNNNNNNNNNNNNNNNNNNNNNNNNGUGCAUAAGUUAUCAGGUUUGCGAUGUGUGAGAUACCAUGCUAUUCACACAAAAGUUCAUCGACUACCCCCACCCCCUUUCGCCGCGAAAGUUACCAGGACUGGUGUACAGAAGUUAUCAAGUUUGUAAUGUGUGAGUUAUCAUGCUAUUCACACACAAAAAAAGUUACCGAGGUAUAUUUCAUCAACUCCCCCCACCCUCACCCGGUCGCUAAAGUUGCCAGGACCUGGGUGCAUAAGUUAUCAGGUAUGCGACGUGUGAGUUACCAUGCUAUUCAUACAAAAAGGUAUCGAGGAUACGUUUACACUAGUUCUGUUUGGGGUCAAAAAACCUCCACACUGCCUUCUAACAUCAUAACCUGAACCAGACUUAAAGUUGGUACACUGUAGUACUGUAUUUCUUAGACGAGAAACUCAAACCCAAGUUUUUCUUGCGGACGGAAAUACUCAACCCAUGCUUUUCUAAAACACUCAACUUGAAUGCAUUUGCUCACCGCCUCAUACCCAAAACAGGUAAGUGCCUCGAGGACCAACGGAGUGGAACAAAAUCCAGAAGUUUCAUUUCCUCCCCUGAACAAAUCUCAGCUUCAGUGGUGUUGUAUACAUAUAUACUGUACGUUGAUAAGCUAUAAGAUCUUAUUCAAAUUUAUAGAAUGAAAAAUGUUUCAAUUCGCCCCGAUGAUAGUACAUAACACAGUAUCAAACACAUGGCUCAGAACCAAAUCCAACCAGAAGGCAGAUGAUAAUGAAGUGAUCAUCCAUUGUCCUGUCGUAAGUAAGACGGCUGAAAGUCUGACACACUUGCGGAAGCUCUGUGGAGAUUCUUUCUGGUGCACAGUGCAUCCAAUACCGUCAACAGACAAUGGCGUCAGUUAACUGUCAGGGAUCGAUGAACCUAACCUUGUGAAAAUCAUUUCUUCGGAUUAUUUCUCGUCCGUUUCCUUGGUCUAGAAAGCAGCUUAAGCAUGUUAUCGGUCAGGUCGAGCGGGGAGUCGUCACCCUCGUCCUGGAGCUUCGUACCGGACGUUUGUGUCAACCAUCCCAGCGCUUCUAUCGCGGCAUCCCUCUCCGCGACCUGCUUGUUCCUCUUCGGCUUCCCGACGAACUGCAUCCCUUUGAACUCCACCAUGGCCCUGAACUCGUUGGUCUUGAGGUGCUUUGUCUUGUACUUUGGAGGCGUGUGGCCUGCCCUCAUCAGCAAGGUCUGCAGCAGGCUCUUUGGGUUCAUACCAUCCUUUAUGAUGUUGCUUUUGCCGUCUUCGUUGUCCCGAAGCCUAGCUCUGCUCGUUUCUCGGCCGAACACAAACCUUCCUUCACAUAGGUCGCCUGCAGCAAGCUCUUGUGCAGCAAAUAAAAUGUACUUGCCUUCCUUGUGAAUAUCAAAGGUUGGGUCUUCAAGCUGGAUUUGGGAAAAUUGCCACAUUACAAGCACAAUCAGCAUAUACACCGAAUAUGGAAGACAAAAAUUAAGCAAAUUGGAUACUCAACAACUUUGUUUUUAAUUUCUUACUGGUGACACAUAUAUUAUAAAGUAGCGCAUGCUUUAUAUUCAGGGGUAACAACAUGAUAAACAGUAUAAUCAUUAUUCCCUUGUUAGCUACUAGAAAUGGCAGAGGAUUGUAAUUUGGUACAUAAAGUAUCACCGAUGUUUCUUUUACUUAUUUGCUGAAUCAACUAAAACAUCUUAUGAGAUGAAAUCUGUAUAACACCUUCCAAAUUAAUUGGUAGCAGCACUUUACCUUCUUCUGUACAAGUUUAUCAAGUUCUUCUUUAAGUUGCAAGUAGCACUCUGACAGGCUGGGGUCCAUAAAUAGAUCAAUGUAACCAUCAAGCAUCUUCAAAUGCCCAGCCUAUUAGACAAGUUAGAAGGCAUAGAUCAGUGCAACAAAAAAUGCAAAAAUACAUAGACAAAGCAUUUGACAGAAUACUCAACAUACCGCGCUUCCUUUUGUGACAGCACCACCAAAUAAGAUCAGUAUGGAAUCUGAUACUCCAGUUGAAUCACGGAUGAAGACAGCAUUUACCUUCACCUUCUCACCAAAGACCAGCCAUGGAUAAGGGAUGGUCUGGUACUUAGCAUUCACAGAAUUCUGAACAAACCUUAAUGUCAGAGACUCAGAGUACUCAGAUAAACAUGUCCGAAAGAUGAUGUAUUAAACGGGGUGUUGGACAUGAGCAUUUCAGGACGCUCCUGUAUGCACUUACAGCAUAAACAAGAACUUGGCCAUCAUCCAUGGUCUUGAAGGACAUGGAGUUUUCCCUGUGCUGCAAAGGAAUGCUAAAAAUUAAUUGAACUGUCUUCCAUGUAAUACAAAUGCAAUGGAAAUUGUUGGCAGCUGUUUACCACAACAGAUGAUAUCCCAGGAAAAAGUCCAGAACAAAUUACGCCACGAACUAAUGAUUGAUUAUGGCUCAAACUAUUAUUUGUAUUUGCAUCAGAGUCUAUCAAACCGGCGUCCUUUAAGAUAUAGCUGAAUUGCUUUCGAAGAGAAUGAAUGGCUUGUAGUGUUUGAGCAGAAAGGAAAUUCCUCCAACAGUACUCAUAACCAGAUCCUUCCCUCUCAGCAUCCUUCCAUCCUUCAUAAGCUCGGACAAGGGCCAUAUGAUCACUAUAAUCUUUCGCUGAGAAUCUUGAUUUUGCAGUUCCUGCCAACUAAUAAUAAUGACAAAACUAUAAGCUAAGCCUUCUUAGCUGAAUGAAAAAAAAUGGCUUGGGAAUGAACGGAAUAUAGUAAAAUAGCUAACAGCCACCGUGUGUACGACUGUACGUAUUGGUGGUAUUUAGAUCUUCCUAACUUUUAUCACAAAAUUCAUAGGGAAGAGAAUCAUUUCAAAACUAAAACUAGUAAUUAAGAUAUAGUCAGACAGUGGAAAUUAAAGUCAUACAUCUUUCUUGUCCUGUGGCAACAGGAAAGGAUCCCGGGCACUCAAUCCAGCAACCACAGUAAGUAUAGGGUCAAUGCAACGGAAAACUGCACCCAUUAUAAGCAUCUUCCCCAACUUUGGAUCAACCGGAAGCAUGGAGAGGUAUCUUCCUACAAAGUUGAAUAUGUUUCAGUGCCAACAUUCCUGUAGCGUUUGGAAGAAAUCAGAAUAUAAGGCAUACCUAGAUCAGUAAGGUUCUCGUUCUCAUCUAAUGAUCCGAUCAUCUUCAGGAAUUCCACUGCAUUUUGGACCUACAUAUUUAUCAUGUGGUCAGAACACAAAAAUGAAAAGGAUAAAACUGAACCCUUUACUGCCUACUUAAAACAAUAACUCAUAGAGUUAUAAGCCGUGUAAGAGCCCAACAAAUGUCAAAAGUACCAAGAUAGAACUAAAUCAUGUAGACGCAAAGACAGAGAGAAAUGGAAUAUCCAAAUGCUUAAUUAUGAUUUCAACACAUACGGCUCGUGGUUCUGGAGGCUGCAAAGCAGCUGAUAGAAACUCCCCAAUGCUGUCAACCUGCAAACUUUUUAUCUGCAAACAUAGUGAAUUCAAAGGAGUCCUAAGAAGCUCUGGAAGCUGGUACUCUGCAAAUGCAUCAUAUACACAUCUGGGGUAGAGAUGAUAGCAUUCUCCAGGUUGUACACGACCAGCUCUGCCCCUCCUCUGCAUGAAGAUAUUGGGAGAAAACAUGAGAAUUGUAGCAAAGAAGAUGAUUUGUAAACAAAAGUAUUGACUAUUGAGUGUGAUCAUAUCGCCCAAACAAGACUGUUACGGUCAAGAUAGGUUCACUGUUAUACAGAAAGUUAUUCAUUGCUAGAAAAUUUCUUGCUUGUAACCAACGACAAGUAUAUAUUGACCACCGAAGCAGAAUAAAGAUGCUUUGACUAAAACAACUUCAUGAGAGGAACGGGAACGUUGACGUGCUUGUUGAGGAAUACAUUAUUAUUAAGCGAGCAAAAGAAAAUAAUGGGGUUCUGCUAAGAAGAUAGGCCUUUUGACUUGAUAUAUAAACCAAUGGGCUAAAUUUUGUCAACUUAUGACCACAAAUGACCAGAAACCUCAUAUUAAGGCAUGCCCUCAUGGCCUCGUACAGGCAAAUCAUAUAAACAUGGUAAAUAGCUGACAAAGAGACGGUCAAACAUAAUAACACAAUGAUACAUAACUCGCAAAGACAAGAGUCUCACUGGUCAACAUAUAACAUACAGAAGGGAAGCAUUGCUUUGAGCUAUGGAAGCUGCUGAACGUGGGUCCAAGUAUGUGACAUUUACCAGAUUGAGUCGAAGAGAAAGGGCUGGUGACUAAGAGACUGAAAAAUUGAAGAUAAGGAUUACCUGACGGGAAGAAGCCUUUGAAAUCCAUGAGGGGAGUAAGCAGGGAGUGUUGUUUAGAGCAUCGUAUGUGGUUUCCUUUGCUUUUCCACAAUCCAUGACGAAAACAAUGUCAUUUAUGGUAAUACUUGCUUCUGCCAUGUUAGUGGCAAGUACUACCUUCCGAACAUUAGGAGGUGCCUUGUCAAAUAUUAGCCUCUGCGGAAAAACAUAAUGUUAAAUAUAAAUGUGAAUGGCAAAUAAUUAUACGAUGCACACAGGAUGCUAUGGAUAUAAUGAUAUAUGCACAUCAAUGAACCAGUAAGCAAGGUGAAUCUGUGUAUAUAAGAUGCAAUUACACAAUAGAAGUGGUAUCUCAGAUCCAGUGACACAAUUGGCAUCACAAAGCAAUCUCAUUUCAAUAAGAAAUGCAAAAUUAGGAUCAAUUACCUGCUCAGAAGUAGCCAUGGAACCAUGGCAUGCAAGCAGCAACACUCUAUUUGGGUCACCUAGCAACGGAUGCGCUUUUAAUUGAUCCUUCAAAGAGCUAAUGUCAUCCCAUCCGGUCAUAAAUACUAAAACUGCACCAGCUCGCUCUUUGCGACAUAUGUGGCACAGAACAGCCUCUAUGAGAUUAAACCCUAUGCAGUCAGGAUUCCAGUUUGCCAGAGAAUCACGUGUCCUUGAGCCAUAGGUUUCAAAGUUCGAAUUUUGAAGGGCAUCCUGCAUAGUACAGUAACAAUAUCUGAAGAAUGUUGAGGAAUAAUUGCAGUCAUUAAUCUCUAUAUAGAACUAGUACCUCAACAAGUGUAGUAAUUUGAUUUUUCCUUUUUCUGGGCAAUAGCUGUCUCUGAGUCUUCCACACUUUAUCUUGGCCGUAAUCGUCAAGUUGAUUACUUGCUGUCAUCUUAUAGCCUGUCCUCUCUAAUAUGUCUUCCAGAAAAUGCGCCCUCACUGGAUGUGUGAAUCCCUGAAUUCAGGGGAAGAAUGCAAUGGAUGCAAGAUCACUUACACAGUAUACCAGAGGUACACAAGCUGGCAGAUGAGCAUUAUGUAUAUAGAGUGACAUAUUACAUUUAAAAAAAUAACAACUCACAGGAAUGUGGAUAGUUGGUGCUCCUCCAAAAUAACUUGAGAACAGUUCCGCGUUUAAAGUAGCACUCAUCAAUAUCAACCUUAGAUCGCGGCGCCGUGACAAUAGGUCCUUUAGAACGAUCAAUAAGAAAUCUGACAGACCAAAGCAAUAAUAAUUUGAUUAUUGUCAUGAGUUAAAUGGGGAACAAAACCAUCAUAAGGGCAAUUAAUAAGGUCUUGAGACACAACCUUCGUUCAUCCCUCUUUCAUGUAUUUCAUCAACAAAUACAUGAGACACUCCAUUCAAGUUUCGGUCACUCAGCAAUCGUCUUAGUAAAAUACCACUGGUGCAGAAAAGUAAAUGUGUAUCUUUUCCUCUAAUUCCCUCCAAUCGAACUUUGUAGCCAACCUAUUAAAGAAGCUAGUGUUGUAUGCCAAAAAUUACAAUGGAUAUGGGCUACAAUAACAAAGGUAGCAAAUCGGAAGUUCCAUCUUACCGAUUCACCAAGGUUUUCUCCUCUUUCGGUGGAUACCCUUUCUGCAACAGCCAUUGCAGAUAUUCUUCGUGGCUGUGUACAGAUUAUGUUACAAAAGGCCCCUCGACCAGAUUCUAUCUCUGACUCCAACACAAAUUGAGGCAACUGUGUUGUUUUUCCACACCCAGUCUCCCCAGAAAUAACUAUAACCUGGCAUGCACAGGAAUAGUCAGAUAAAUAGAAGGACAGAAGGGAAUUGCAACACAUCUUUCCACUGAGUUCACAAAUCUCAUAAGUUCCUCCCAGACAAGUGUACCUGAUUGCGUGCAAUGGCUGCUAGAAGCCUUUCCUUCUCCUUGUAUGCUGGGAGUGAUUUCCGAAAUUCUACCAUCUUAGCGCCUUCAGGUGAUUCCUGUUAUUACAAGCAGAUAAAAGCUUCAUCCAAUAUUUCCAUGAAUCAGCAGCUCGCGUACAGAUAUGUAAAUGAAGAUAUAAGAAAUGGUGCAGAAGGUAUUUGUAAAUCAUGCCUUUGUUUCUUUCCUCUAACAUAAAUCAAGCUGUAUGCUAAAAAACAGAAAUAAAGCUAUGCGGCAUUCAGAUACUGUUUGGAUUUUAUCAUACCUGCCAACUUCUUUGAAAAUUGCGCAUCCUAAGACUCUUCCUCUGAAGGAUCUUCUCCAUAACCGACUCGUCGAGCAGAGGAUCCUGCUUCUCAUCCAAGUUGACCUGCUCAGCUUUCUCGGAACCACUUUCUGUCUUGCCACCGUCUUUAUCAAACGGCAAGAGCGAACGGUCAAGGUGCUCCUGCACAAAUCCUUCAACCCUCCUCUGCAAGCUUAGCGGGAUCACCACCUGUUUGUUUCCAUGCACAGCAAACACAUACACGCCAUUCAAAUGGAAUGCAUUUGCAAUAAGAGAAAGAUGUGUGAUCUUGCCAUUGGAUUGCAUGGACUCACCUCUCUUUGCGGGCGCUUGUCGUCCAGGUCUGGCCUGUAGUUCGGUAGCGGGACCUUGCUCGCAACAAUAACCUUCCCAUACAGCUCACUGUCGUCCCACAGAGGCAGCACCGCCCGAAAGAUUCAUCAACAUUUCUGUGACUGCAUAUGAAAUUAAGAACUGGGGGCAGGUGAAAUUACAGUACACAACCUGUAGAGCCCCAUCCUCUUGGCGAGGUUGGCGAUCUGGUCAUAGUCCCGGCGGUCCCUCCGGUCCCUGGAGAUGAUCUCCUGCUCCUCCGCAUUGCGCUGCAGCAUGCUCAGCUUCCACCUCCACUCGUCGAUGUUCGCCACCGACGACGACGGCUGCGGUUAGCAUUUGGUGUGAGAGGCAGCAAAUGAGACGAAGAAAAGGGUGGAAGAAUUGUUUUUUUUUUUUGCCAGCAGCAUAGAUAAGAUGUGCCGCCCGGCGGGAGUGGAGUAUACCCGGUGGUCCUCGUACUCGUGGUCGUACUCGUCGUCGGAGAACUGCUCGACGGCGCGGCCCCCGCUGUAGCCGCAGAAGGUCCGUCGGGAGAAGGCAUCCAGGCGGCGCGGGAGGAGGAGGAGAGCAGCGAGAGGGAUCGGCGGCGGCGGCGGCCGGCUGAGUGGGCCAGGGAGUGGGACGAGGAGGAUGCCCAGCCCGCGCCGCAAGACGCGGCGCAUGCUACUGUUGGCUGGUUGGCUGGGCUCUACUGCUGCGGCGGCGCGAGCAUGGCCGGAAGAGGAGAUGGAUGGGGGGAGUGAGGCGACGCCGGCGUCGGGGAAGGGGGGAGGAGGCGGCGGCUUGGCUCCCGUUCGAGCUUGGGCUGGUCCUUCACGGGGCUGCCUUAUUGGGCCAUCCGAAUGGCGGCCUUCGGUUCUUUUAAGGCUCGGCUGUGAAAAUGGGCCUGUGCAUCAUUCUUCUGGAAGAAAGAAAACUGGUUUCGGACCGUUCGCAGCUCCUGCCCGGAUAACCAAACCUCUCUCUUGGACUCAAAAAAACAAAAACCUCUAAUUUCAAAAAAAAACAAAGAACCUCUCUCUUCUUCCACUAAAAAAACAUCUCUCUUCUCAUAAAAAAAACAAAACCUCUCUCUUUCUCAUAAAAAACAUAAACCUCUCCCAAAUGUCCGGACCAAACUGUCCGACACUUUUAGCCAUCCAACGACGGUUACCAUAAUUGCCCGAACCGGUCAAUGUCAUCCGAAAUCCCCAAAAUCAGCACCAAACUGGAGGAGGUUUGCGACAGUCUGGACGUCAGCCAUGUCGGACUCCGACACCCCGGCCAACCCAAAAACCCUAUCCAAAUAUCUCAUUCUUUCACUCCAUCCACCCCCAUGUGCUUUAUAUUCACGCUCCUGGACUCCGACAUCGUCGUUUUACCACUCCAAACGUUGCCAAGGCCUUGUCGGACUUCCGCUGCUCCACCCAAGCAGUCACCCAACUUUGCCUACGCCCGUCAUUCCGCCCACGAUCCAAUUGCCUUCCAGAUAGCCCUGAUCCAUUACGGACACCACACAUGGCGAGUGUUCGGCCAAAGGCAUAGCCAAAAAAAAGUGACGGUUGUUUACUUUGAAGCAAACACGGUGAAUUCGGACGAGGAUUACUUCUACACCGAGUUCAUGGAUUUGUCGGAUGAUGAUCAAACGACGAUGAUGAGAGCAAUUCUUAAAGACACAUAGCAUGCGAUGGAGCAUGCUCUCAACUUCAAGGGUUCAAUGACGGGACAUAUGAUGUUGUAUGACAACUACUUUCAAACGCGUCUACCGAGGUGUCAGGGCCUACUAUGAUUACUUUAAAAUUGAAGAAGGAUGUCGUUACAAACAUUGCGGGUUCUUUGGUUACCAGGAGUGCACGACUGUUAUGAGGCUGCUUUUCUAUGGCACAAUCGCAAAUUUGUGGGAUGAGUACCUUCGGAUGUCUAAAAGCACAUGUCUCUAAGCCAUGAUCAGAUUUUCUACCGUAGAGGUCAAGGUGUUUGGACCGGAGUUCUUGAAAGAACCAAAUGUCACAUACAUAGCAAGGCUCGUGGCACUUGGAGAAUCAAGUGGGUUCCCGGGUAUGCUCAGAACACUAGAUUGCAUGCACUGAGAAUGGAAGAACUAUCCAUAUGCUCAAUGGGAGCAAUACCAGGGCCAUUGCAACAAAAAAAACAUUAUUCUUGAAACAGUUGCAUCAUAAAGACCUAUGUGUUUGGCACUCUUUUCUUUGACAUGCCUAGGUCUCACAAUGCAUCAAAGUGUUGCAAUGGUCUCUUUUGUUUGCAAGGUUGUGCGUGGGCGAAGUCCUUGCGUGCAACUAUACCAUAAAAUGGUUAUGAUACGGCAGGGGGUACUAUCUUUUUGAUGGUAUAUAACCUUCGUGUGUGACCUUCGUCAAUAUCAUCUAUGAGCUAAGGGGUAACAAAAAUAUCACUUUGCCCCAAAACAAGGAGCUCGAAAGGAUGUGGAGGGGCAUUUGGAGUGCUCCAAGCCCGUUUUGUAGUUGUUCGCAGACAUGCUAAACUAUGAGAUGCAGAGACAUCAUGGGAGGCGAUGACAACUUGUGCGGUCAUGUGCAACAUGAUUGUGGAAGAUGAGGGCGAGGGAGUUCGCCAAGGUCUGGAAUUUCAAGAUAUGGGUGAAUGCAAACCUUUUCUUGUGCAGCAGAAUUCGGCGACGUUUCACGAUUUUCUCCAAGUGUGUCAUCAGUUUCUUAGUCUAGUAAAUCAUGAGCAGUUUCAUAAUGAUCUGAUUGAGCAUCUGUGGGCAUUUCAUAUGGAUAACUAAAACAUGUAUCUGAAUAAGUUAAAAUUCAAAUUUGAACUAUUUUAUUUCAAAAUUUUACGUUUGAAUUAUUGUUUCACUGAAAUAUCCAUCUUUCUAUUAUCAAUUAAUUGUGAUAUUUUUAUUAUUAUUAUUAUUAACUUUCAAUACUCUAGGCAUAGGAAAAAUAACUGAGUGGCCUGACAUUAAAUGAGUAGGGUUGGGUGGCCAAUGUCUCGCCCGCUGUCCGCUGACAUAUUUAGUGCCGUGUGGUUGGUGAUCUGCGUUGGAGUUGCUCUUUAUCUUACUUCACAACAUAUAAAAUUGUGGAGGUGAAGGGAGAAAACCAAAGAAAAUGUUUGCCUUUCUUAAUUAAGAGAUGAUAUUGUAGCACGAUAUUUCUCACCGCAUAUUUAGAUAUAUCUAGUUACUAGAAAUAGAACUAAGAGAUAUCCAUUGUAUAUAUAUUUCUAUUGUUAUCUCUAAAUUACAUGUUAGAGUUAAAAUAAGAUUGCCUGUCAACCACUGUAUAUGACUUCAAGGCAUUUUUAUUACUCAAAGAGGCUUAUUUUAAGAAAACAUAUUAGGAUGUGUUAUAAGAUAGUCUUAUCUUGCGUCCCGCACAUAUCUGAAGAAGUUUACAGUGGGAUUGUUUGUUAUUCUUAUGCCCAAUAGUUUUUUUUGGAAUUAAUGAGCUCAAAGAGCCCAACAUUCACUACUUAGGAAAUUGAUAAAACAUCAUUCUGCUCCCACAUCUUCAUCUAUUAGAACGGCACACAAGCAUACCGUCUGUACACCCCACAAAAGAACAUGCACAAAAUAGGGAAUCCAAGACAUGGUUCUAGUUGAAAAACUCUUACAACUCCAAGCCAUACAUCUAAAACAGGGAAAUCACAUAAACGAAAGUAUGCACGACAACUGCUUAGAUCAUCAAAGACUCAAAGAGCCAUCCCAAAGCUUUUUGGUCUUUCAUCUUUCAAACUUGUGCACACAUGGUGCCCAGCCAAACUCUUGUGGGAGAGUUUAGUUGCCACCAAAAGUAACCUACUCUAUUCGUGCCACAUACAAAACCCCCGAUAAUUAAUUGCAUGAUCCUAUAUUUGUGGGGGUGAAGGUAACCUCUUUUUUCUUCAUAUACUUGUCUCUCUUCCAACUCAGCAAUUAUAUUUGGUGGCACUCCUGCUCUUAUAUGCAUGUUUUUUAAACUAUGCAUAGACUCAGAUCCUUGGAAGAAAAAAAAUGUCCAAGAUGCCAUGAUUUUCAUUUUUUUAAAUCAAUACUAUCAAGUAAGGCUUCUAAAAUCUGAUUACAAACAUGUCCAAGAUGCCAUGUUUUCAGGAAUUGAUGGGACUAGUAACCUAGCCACAAACAUAAAUCCCUAAGACUACCCACAGCGGGGAGUAACUUAGAGUAGUAACAUGCAUAUGUUACUAGUCUAUGUUACUACCUCUAUAGUGGGGAGUAACAUAUGUGGUGUCAUGCAUCACUUCAUUUAUUAGGCUGUAGACUCAUCUUGUCUUGAUAUGCGUGAUGUUACAGUAACUAGCUAUGUUACCACAUGCCUCUCUUUCUUCAUUGAUUACUUGCCACAUCAUCUAUUUUAGCUAGAUGAGUGUGAUGUUACCACCUAUGUUACUCUCAUUGUGGGCAGUCAACAUACUAGCAAAGGCUCAUUUACACCAUUUAGUUGUCACCUGGUCCUUUUCGUGUUCGAUCAAUGCUCAUGAAACUAGGAUGGGUGGGUGUGCGCGUGCACAUGAGGAUGGGGCGGAUCUUUUAAUAUCCAUCGAGAUUCUAUUAGUUUGGUUCUGUAUCACUAAAGUUUUAUUCGCAGAAAGAAGAGCACUCCCUCCGAUCUAAAAUUUUAGUUCAAAACUUGAACUAAAACCACGACACUUAUUUUGUGUUGGAGGGAGUAUAUACUGAAGUUUAUAGACGACACUUGUUUUACAGAAGGACUGUUUGGCUUGGUGCAAAAAAAUGGCUAUCAGCAUAACUGGCCAACCAUUCGAGACUAGUCCCUCCUUUCCAGAACCAUUUAUUGGGCAAAUUUUGAAGCUGCCAAAUGUUAGCACGUCAAAAGCAAAGCUGGCCAGCUAACCACUGGCUUGUUUUGUUCUCACCUUGCUUGCAGUUGCAGGUGAGCACUACUCACCGUGACGGAUAGGCAAAAGAUAAGAGGAUGAGGCCCAUCAUCUCUGUCUGUCGUGCCAAAUGGGGGAUCAUCGUUGGCAAACCAGAUAGCAGGCAUGCUUUGUUUUCGCUUUUUCAUUACGGGUGAGCGCUCGCUGCGGCCGAUGGCAACGGGGUCAGUACGAAAGCCAUCUGCCAGAAGGAAAGGAAAGAAUUGAAUUGUGAUCGCAGAAAAAAAGGAAAGAAUUGAAAGCCGGGUCCACCCAGCAGCGAGAGGAAGCAGUGAGAGUGCACACACGCAAGACGCACAUGCUCGACGGAACGGAAGGUUCUGUCACCAUUCCGUUGCGGGGCAGAGAGAGAGGGGGAGAUUGACGGAUCAUGAGGACCGGCCCCGACCGAGCUGUCCGUGGGCCUGGGCAACCACCACCAUCGCGACGCUUGACCGAAUCAAAUCGAAACCAGUGGCUGCGCGUCCCCCCGGCCCACCGUAGCCUAAACUAAACAAACGCCUACUGGACGAGACUGGACCAGCCGAUGCCGCGUCAUUAUUGGGUCGCUAAUCACUUUGUUUAGGGAACGCUAAUCACUUUUUAAGGAGCGCUAACACUAGACUACUAGUCGUACAGGUCAGGGGAGGUGGCCAUGCGCCGCCGCGAAGCAAACGCAGCACGCCAGCAUGUCGCCCAAGUAAGACCGGCCUCCUGAAUUGACCCUUCCGCCCCUCGCUCCCCUGGCCAUAGACCCCGCGCCCACACCGGUAAUAUACCGCCCAUGGCGAGGGCGACGCGGGUAUUCCGCUCGGGGGCCCAGUGGUAGUACUAGUAGGGGCUUGGGGUUCUGACCCGUCUAUCGAUCAACCCGGCCCUUUUUUCUCGGCGACCAACGCACGCACGCGAGCUGCUCGAGAAAGAGAAAAGUAGCCAGCAGCGGCAGCGGCAGCGGCGAGAGCGAGCACAGCCGCGCAGACAGACAGACGCACGCACGCCACGCCACGCCAUUACAAAUCGCCCCAAGCACCAAACCCUACCCAACCAGGCAACCACCACCCGCCAGCCCUCCCGCGGAUCCCCGCCCUCAGCUCGCGCCUUCCUCCCGUCUCGUCUCGCCUGUCCUUUUUUCUCUCCCGCCGCCGCGCCAUGGAGGUGAGCGACCGAUUGCUGCUCUUGUUUUUUUUCUUUUGUGCGGCGGCGUUGUGUCUUUGGAGUGCGUGGGUCGCUGACGGGCCGUGCCUUGUGGGUUGCAGGAGGGGAGGAGGGGGACGAGGACGGUGCGGGUGCGGAACAUCUCAGAUCUGGCCGGGGAGCGGGAGGUGCGCGAGUUCUUCUCCUUCUCCGGCGAAAUCGACCACGUCGACAUCACCCCGUGAGCGCCCGCUCCCUUCUCUUCCUGAAUUCCUUCCCUCCCCACUCGUGUCCCGUCUGUCUAACCGCAUUGCGGUUUUGGGCUUGCUGCUGCAGUGACGGGGCGGCGGCGGGGAGGACGGCCUACGUCACCUUCAAGGACGCCAAGGCCCUGGAGAUCGCGCUGCUGCUCUCGGUAUGCAUGGCCUUGCCCAAUCAUCCAAUGGCUACUUCCGUCUGCGCAAUCUGGUUGUGCUGGUGUUGUCAAUUGCUAUCUAUAAUGAAUUAUUUUGCGUGCUGUCAAUGUCAUUGUGAACUGUAAAUAGUGUGGUAGGUAUACGCAGCUGUUAUGGCUUUUGCAUUGGACCUAAUUUUUUCCCAUCGAUAUCAGUACUUGAAGUGUCUUUGGCUGGAAAGGAAAUUAGGAAGACGCUUUUGUUUGUUAUCUCCAUGAUAAAUUGCACUUGGGGACAGUUGACAUGGAUGUAGAAAUUAGGAGGAAUAGAAAUCUUUCAUUCUAAUCGUUUCCCCUCUUGUGGCAUUCUGUUUGCAUUGUGAGCUUUUUUCAUAGUAGAAGAAGGUGACCAAACUUAGGAAGGAAUUGGAAACCACAUUUGAAUUUCAUUGCUUUCAAAUCAUUUGGUAAGAUAUGUUGUACUGUAUUGUCAUGUCCAUCAACUGGCAAUAUGAUGGAAUGACAGUUGACACCGCUACUUGUUUGUUUGUGAAAUCUGUAGAGCCCAUUGACCAUGUUUGAGUAAAGAAAAAGGAAAUUAGUAUUUUAAUCAUGGCUGCUUUGAUUGGCACAGAAGUGUGCUGCAUAAUAUACUACGAGAUUGCCGUUGGAAUUCUUUGACUUUGUGAUCUUUUUUGUCCUUUGAAGUAACUAGCAUGCCAGUCAUUUCUUUAUGUGCACAUGUCCUUGCUCCAAUCAAGGGGCCUUCCAGGUUGACAGGUCUACAGUGAAUUUAUAGUUGUAUAUUAGCUCUGUGUCUAUUUCACUUUUUUUACACAUCACCACGUUCCUUAGAUCUGCAUAACUGCAAAACAAACAAAUGUUGAUAAGCUUCCCCAUGCAUGAUAGCGUGAAUCAUUAUAAACAAUAUAUUCUAUUUCUUUUUCAGGGAGCAACAAUUGUGGAUCGAGUUGUGAACAUAACCUCUGCUGAAGAUUACAUCUACAUCCCUGUUAAUGAACAGGUGCACUAUUCAACUAAUUAAUGUUACAUAAAUGGCAGUACUCUAUCCGUCCUUUUUUUCAUAGAGAGGUCCAUUUUGAAAUCAUGCAGCAACUUGUGAUGAAUGAGGUGACAAGUACAGCUCCUACUGCAGAUUUGGGACAACCUACUGAGGUAUCUUUGAAUUCCAUUACAUUUACGUUUCUUUCUUUUCUCUUUGUAAUAUCAUGAAAACCCCAUCAAUCAUGGGUCACUGUGUGGAAAUCUGCCCCAAAUAAAAAUAAGAAAAUGAGAACCUUGGGUUAUCUGCUUAUAUGUUACUGUAGUGGAUCAUCCUUGUUACUGAUUACUGAAGUAUGACCCUACCAUGUAGGCCAACGCAAGCCCCACUAGUGUUUAUGCCAGCAAGGCUCAUGAUGUCAUGACAACUGUGAUCGCAAGGGGUUCAGCAAUUCGACAAGAUGCUGUGAAUAAAGCUAAAUCAUUUGACGAGAAGCAUCAGUUAAGGGCUAAUGCGUCAGCUAGGAUCAGUUCCUUCGAUAGGCGUGUUGGCCUUUCAGAGAAGUUAAAUACUGGGAUAUCUGUCGUAAAUGAAAAGGUGAAAACUGUGGACCAAAGGUUACAUGUUUCUGACAAAACAAUGGCUGCUUUGCUGGCUGCAGAGCGCAAGCUAAACGAUACAGGCUCUGCUGUGAAAACCAACAGGUCUCUUCUUUUACAUACCUUUGCUAUUGUUCACUUAAUCAAUUUGAUGUGUGUUUUUAUAUCAGCUGACGAUUUACCUAUGUCCUGUAUGGCUGAUCCUUCGCCCUCAUUUCCCCUACUUGUAGGUAUGUGUCUGCUGGAACAAGCUGGCUGAAUGGUGCCUUCAGCAAGGUCGCCAAGGCUGGACAUGUUGCUGGCUCAAGAACAAGAGAAAAGUUCCAGAUAGCUGUGUCAAAUAUAUCAGCCAAAGUAAGUCAAUAAUGAAUUUUACUGGGUGAAUUUAGCACCAGAAAGAUAAGCAGUGCUAUUAAAGACAUGUAGCAACGCUAAAGAGCUGCCUUCUGCACUUUUUCUUGUUGUCUAAACAGUGAUGAAGCAGAACUUUAUUUGCAUUAUUAUGGUUAUUAUUAAUAGGCAUGCCCAAUAGCAUACCAUCGUAACAUCAUCCUGCUGCUGCCAGUGCACAUAUGAUUCUCAACUUUGGGAGCUAACUGAUCAUACUUCUAGACUUCAAGCAUUACACACAAUUUGUUUCCAAUAGGUGCUACUCUAUUCUCCUGGACAUUACCAAGUCAACAUCAUAUUCUUACCUGCAAAUAGUAGACCCAGUCCUGAUCCCUGAUUAGAAAAAUACAACCAUUUAGAUAAACUCUCAACCAAGAGACAACACCGAGCAAGAGAUAUAGAGUCAAGUACUGGAACAAUUUGUCUGUUCAGUUAUAUGGUUUUUAUCUGUUCACUGUAGAGCAUCUAUGUUCUGCAGAAUGUGAUGCUGCGAUACCGGUAAUGCCUUUGCUGCUUUGUUAGCUUUUGGCAACAUAAGUGGCAUUAUCGAAGGUAGAUUGUUUGUGUGCAUAACUUAGGAACAAAUGUGCUUUUGAAAAGCCAUUAAGUGGCAUUAUGGAAGGUAGAUUUUUUGUGUGCAUAACUGUAGGAACAAAUGUGCUUUUGAAAAGCCAUUUUAAAGCCAAUCCAUAUGCACAUUUUUUUCUCCAGGAUAUAUUUUGUCAAACAGUAAUUUAUUUGCAACCUUAUUUCUGUCACAACAUAGUUUGUUGCGUCUCAUGCUCCAAUUCCACGUUCUUUCUUCUUUUGCUGUAAUAGGGGCCUGCUGUCGUUGCUUGAGCGUGUUGAGUUUGUUCUGGGAGGCUCCUCUUUUUGGUGAAAAUCUGCUGGAAACCUUGAGCAAGCACCUUCCGUUGGUUGUGUCAUCAAGCUGUGGCUUGUAACUGUGUAUUUCUCUAUUUUUUUUUCUUCUUCUUUGAGGAGGUUUUAACUUUCAGGGAGUUUGUCAGAUUUGGUACAUAGAGGAUCUAAAUUUUCUUUAGAAUUUUAGAACCACUAUUCCUUUUAGUGUCGGUGUUCAAUUGAUUAUAGGUGGUAGUGACAUUUUGAACCAUGUUCGGUGUGGCUUCUUGAUUGUCAUUGAUGUCCCAUGUGUCAUGUCUCUGCUUCUGCAGAAAUUGUCACUCAAAUUGAGUAAUUUGGAACAUAUGGAACUGCAGUGCUUCUUUGUGUACACAUUCAUCUUGUGCAGUUAGUAUGCAUUUAAGUUUCAGUGCAAGCAUGUUAAGUCAAGGGAAUUGUGAUACUCCCUCCGAUCCAUAUUACUCCCUCCGUUCCUAAAUAUUUGUCUUUUUAGAGAUUCUAAUGUGGACUACAUAUGGAGCAAAAUGAGUGAAUCUACACUCUAAAAUACGUCUAUAUACAACCGUAUGUAGUCCAUAUUGGAAUCUCUAAAAAGACUUAUAUUUAGGAACGGAGGGAGUACUUGUCUUAGAUUGCUCUUGUCUAGAUACAUAAAUACAUCUGUAUCUAGACAAAUCUACUAAUCUGAGGGAGUAUAUUUUAUGAUUAUUAAUUUGAUUAGAUUGCUUCAGAACAACGCUCACCAUUUUUCUUCUGCUAAUCUGUCACAUUCAGAUUGUUAUGAACUUAUUAGUAAGAGUGCUCAACUGCUCAUCCAUAAUAAGUUUCCUCAAGUACUCGAUCCUAUGUGGCUAUUAUGUACUCCCUCCGUCCAGAAAUACUUGUCGAAAAAAUGCAUAAAAAUGAAUGUAUCUAGAACUAAAAUACAUCUAGAUACAUCCAUUCCUCCGACGAGUAUUUCCGGACGGAGGGAGUAGUUCUUAUUCCUUCCGGUCGCUGUCCUUAUUCUUGUGUUUUCUAAGUCUGUGGCUUCGUUGCUGAACUAACAACGGUUGCAAUGGAUUAUCGAUAUGCAUUCUUUUUUAGUUUUUUGGGGCAUGUAACCAGUGUAAAAAAAAGAACGGAAACGCUAACGCCCACACGUGUGCACACGCCUUGAUUGCCGUCCAGUGCCUUUUGCACGAAUCUUGGCACGAAACGGCUGGUUUUGUGUGCCACGUAGGACAACUCGUGUGUGUGGCAUGUGAGGGAGUUCGCCCGCACGCCGGUUUUCUCUUCACGGUCAACGGUUGCCAGUCGGGGCGUGCGGUGGAACUGCUGUCGUGCCCGCACGCCAUGCCCGACUGCGGUUGCCGUCUACCACGUCUCGCCACUUCGCCCCCCUCCCCUCACGGUUCCAUUACUCCCCUCCCAUUCAUUACUCCCCCAACCCACCAUCCACACUAGUUGCAUUUGAUUGGAGGAGAAGCCGAGAGGAGAAGGCGACGGCGGAGCCGGAAGAGUCGACGACAUUCGCGGCCGUUGGUGGGGCUCGCCGGACCGGAGCGUCGUCGCCGGAGAGCCGUAGAUUGAAGGUAAUGCUCCAUCCUACGCUCACAUUCCUGCCUGCAUUUCCGCCCCCUCCCUCUGUGGUUAAUUUCCGCUCGAGAUUCGUCGAGAUUCCGGCGGUUUCGCGGUGCUCCAGCGUCCCCGUCGGCGGUGGAGUCCGGUGCUUGCCGUUUAGGGCGGCAUUGCGCAGUUUCGUCGCCGCCGCGGUGGCAGCCAUGCCGGUGUGGCUCGGCCUGUGCGCAGCCACAUCCGGGUUCUGCCUUGCGAUUGAGCCGACGAUUUUUCUAGAUGUUAGUUAUGUAUUGCUUCGGAAUGCUAUGGCCAUUAGUGUAGGGAGUUUUUUGUUGUUAAAUUUCAGGGUAUGAUAGUUGCGAAUGAACCCUAGAUCUAGUUAGGUGCAUUUCAAAGUGUAGGAUAAUGACAGCCGUGGCAUUUUUCAACAACUAUCUUCACUGAUGGCAACUAAUUUCCUGAUCAACCGUGUUAGUUGCCACAAAUAUGCUUUCCAUGUGGAAACUAAUUUUGUGAACACACUAUGGCUGUUGCCAUGUUAUAGGCAGGAUAAUGGCAAAUUCACUAUACUAUAGACUUAGUUUGUGUUUUGCCAUGCUGACUUGUGAUAUUUGAACAUUUUUGGCUGUAUUACAUGGUAACUCAUUUUUUAUAUGAGGCCAGGGUGUGAAUUGCCACAUUAGAUGUUGUGUAGUGGAACUUGUCUGCCUUUUUUUUAAAGUGCCUUGCAUUAACAUGGCAACUUGAACCUAGUACAUUGCUUGUGAACACAUGGCAAUUAUUUUUAUAUGAGGCCAGGGCGCGAGUUGCCACAUUAUAUGUUUGCGCAGUGGAAGAUGUCUGCCUUUUUUUGGAGUGCCUUUGUGCUAACAUGGCAACUUGAACAUUUUUAAAGUGCCUUACGAUCUGUACAUUUUUUUGAAGUCAAUGUGUUCAGUUGCCACAUNNNNNNNNNNNNNNNNNNNNNNNNNNNNNNNNNNNNNNNNNNNNNNNNNNNNNNNNNNNNNNNNNNNNNNNNNNNNNNNNNNNNNNNNNNNNNNNNNNNNNNNNNNNNNNNNNNNNNNNNNNNNNNNNNNNNNNNNNNNNNNNNNNNNNNNNNNNNNNNNNNNNNNNNNNNNNNNNNNNNNNNNNNNNNNNNNNNNNNNNNNNNNNNNNNNNNNNNNNNNNNNNNNNNNNNNNNNNNNNNNNNNNNNNNNNNNNNNNNNNNNNNNNNNNNNNNNNNNNNNNNNNNNNNNNNNNNNNNNNNNNNNNNNNNNNNNNNNNNNNNNNNNNNNNNNNNNNNNNNNNNNNNNNNNNNNNNNNNNNNNNNNNNNNNNNNNNNNNNNNNNNUCAUUUGCCACUUUCAAUUGAGCCAAUAUGGCAAGUAGAUUCUGCUAGCUGGCAACUGCCUCCUUCAUAAGCUCAUACACGCCCAGUUUGCCAUGCUUCUGCAAUUGCUUUUCCAUUUUGAUUUUUUCCUGCCUUUUUGUGCAUGUUCAGCACAUGGCAAUUACUGCCCUCUUCAGAUGCUUAAACUUUGGGGCAACCAUUAGAGUUUUCAUUUUUUGUUCAUCAAAGAUAUCAAGUGAAAUUUUACUUUACGCAUUUCUUUCUGUAUUUGUCGGCUAUGUUUCCAUUUCACCUUAAUGUGUGUUUUGUUCUUACCUUAGCACAAUGGCUCGUGGCGACCAUCAAGACGACGAUGAUGACUUCAUGGAGUUACCGCAACAGAAUCGCGCAACUGGUCGGACAAAAGAUGGCGACGAGGUCACUUUCCACCCCCAUAUGUUUUAAUGUCACAUUGAGUUUGUAAUCUUCCGUUAGAAACCAAAUUUUCACGACAUUGAAACAUGGCAACAAAUGAUCCUUUAUCUGUUAUGCAGAAGAAGAAACGUUAUCGCAAUAGGGCUUCACAAGAACGCCUGACUAUAUUUACCGAGGGAUUUACUGACGAGCAGAAGGGAGCUGCUGGUGAGAUGGGGAUGCAGGCUCUGAUGGAUGUUCGGUGCAAGAACCUAGUGAACCCUAUAUGCGACUGGCUCGGUGAGAUUUAUGAUCCUGCCUCCAGGGAAUUUGUCAUUCCGGGACGUGGAAGACUGCCUUUGGACGAGGAAUCCGUGUUCUGCACUUUGGGUGUGCCCCGUGGAGAAAUCAAAGUCCCGUAUGAGGUGAAUAAUAAGAUCGAGGAAGCCUUGUUCGCCCGUUUGUUUCCUGGGAUGGCAUCCAUGCCGAAUACGACUGUGCUGGCAACUUCGCUGGAGGGCAUGAAAACCCAUGGCGAGGUUUUUAAGAUGAAACUCCUCAUGUACCUGAUCUCACCUGUUUUUGCGCCUACCACAUCUCUUCGCCCAAGCAACAAGUGCUUCCCCAUCCUGGUGAAUGCUCUCUCUCUACUUCUUUCUUCCUUCAUUCUUUUGAUUUUGAUGUCAUCUGGAAGCUAGUCACUGCCAGUUUUUUUAUGAUUUCAUUUUGAAUGCUGAUGCGGCAACUUUUUGUCCUAAAAUUUGUGUCGUGUAGGCGAAGCUGAAAGACGUGAAGAACAUGAAUUGGUGUAAAUUCAUCGCGGCCUUCCUGCAUGAUGCAUUCUCAAACAAGAAGUACCAAAAGGGCUGUCGCCUGCACUUAAUGGUAUUUUUCCCUACUCUUUUGCAAAUACUCUUACCACGGUUGAAUGUUUUCCCAAAUCAACAUGUCAGCUGUUUAUAAGUGUGAACCGUACAAGAUCAUGCAUGUCAACCCUUUUGUUUUCAUUGUUUAUGUGAAUUGUUUACAUGUGAAAGUGACCUCUGUUUGAUCUAUGGCAUCUGUGGUUGCUGCCUACAAGGCAAUAGCAUUUUUCAACAACACAAAAAAGUGUUCAUUUCAUACAUCCACUCUCUGUUUAUACAAUCUGCAUGGCAAGCAUGAUGUUGAGCUUGUGGCAACUAUCAGCAUAACAAGAUGGCAACUUGUAGGAUUGAAAGUAUGUCUAGAGGGGGGGGGGUGGUUAGACUACUUGACCAAAUAAAAAUCUAGCCUUUUUCCAAUUUUAGUUCUUGGCAGAUUUUAGCAACAUAGCACAAGUCAAGCAAUCAACCUACACAUGCAAUUCUAAGAGUAUAACAGCGGAAUGUAAAACAAUUGCACAUGAAGGUAAAGGGAGGAGUUUGAGGGAGCAAACACAAUGUUGACACGGAGAUUUUUUAUCCGUGGUUCCGAUAGGUGGUGCUAUCUUACAUCCACGUUGAUGGAGACUUCAACCCACGAAGAGUAACGGUUGCGCGAGUCCACGGAGGGCUCCACCCACGAAGGGUCCACGAAGAAGCAACCUUGUCUAUCCCACCAUGGCCGUCGCCCACGAAGGACUUGCCUCACUAGGGUAGAUCUUCACGAAGUAGGCGAUCUCCUUGCCCUUACAAACUCCUUGGUUCAACUCCACAAUCUUGACGGAGGCUCCCAAGUGACACCUAGCCAAUCUAGGAGACACCACUCUCCAAGAAGUAACAAAUGGUGUGUUGAUGAUGAACUCCUUGCUCUUGUGCUUCAAAUGAUAGUCUCCCCAACACUCAACUCUCUCUCAUAGGAUUGGAUUUGGUGGAAAGAAGAUUUGAGUAGAAAGCAACUUGGGGAAGGCUAGAGAUCAAGAUUUAUGUGGUUGGAAUGGAAUAUCUUGACCUCAACACAAGUGUAGGUGGUUCUCUCUCAGAAAAUAUGUAUUGGAAGUGUAGGCAUGUUCUGAUGGCUCUCUCCAUGAAUGAAGAGUGGGUGGAGGGGUAUAUAUAGCCUCCACACAAAAUCUAACCGUUACACACAAAUCACCAAACUCGGUGGGACCGAUUCAGAGAACUCGGUCAGACCGACUUGGUUCAUAAUGUGACCGUUAGGUGUUUCGGUGGAACCGACAUGUCAACUCGGUGGAACCGAUAUCAUUAGGGUUAGGGCAUAACGUAAUCUCGGUGCGACCGAUUUUGGUAAUAGUCAAACAGAGAGUUGGUCAGGCAAACUCGGUGGGACCGAUUUGCUCAUCUCGGUGGGACCGAAACGUUACGAAAAGGAAACAGAGUGUUUGCAUUGCAAUCUCGGUGGGACCGAUCGCUCAUCUCGGUUGGACCGAAACGUUACGAAGGGAAACAGAGUGAUUACAAUCCCAUCUCGGUGAGACCGAUCCCUAUCGGUGAGACCGAAAAGAUUAGGGUUUUUGGCAGUGGCUAUGUCAACUGAACUCGGUGGCUCCGGAUAGAAAGAAUCGGUGGGGCCGAGUUGGAUAUUUGUGGAUGUGAGAAAGUAGUGGAGGGUUUUGGAGCAUAUCACUAAGCAUUUUGAGCAAGACCCUCAUUAAGCAACACCUCAUCCCUUCUUAAUAGUAUUGGCCUUUUCCUAUAGACUCAAUGUGAUCUUGGAUCACUAAAAUAGAAAAUGUAGAGUCUUGUGCUUUGAGUUUGAGCCAAUCUUUUGUCCUUAGCAAUUUGAAGGGUCCACCUCCUAAUCCAUGCCAUGCCAAUCAUUGAGCUUUCUUGAAAUAUUCAUCUUGAAAUAGCAUUAGCUCAACGAGCUAUAUGUUGUUAGGAAUUACCAAAACCACCCAGGGAUAGUUGCACUUUCAAUCUCCCCCUUUUUGGUAAUUGAUGACAACAUAUAUAUCAAAGCUUCGACAAGUGAUAAGAUUGAAAAACAUCGUCGCUUUGAGAAGAAUGUGAUAAGCAAGAGCUCCCCCUAAAUUUGUGCAUUAUUUAAAAUUUUCUUUUGAAUGCAAAUGCACAAUCGAUUAGGAUCAUGGGUUACUCUUCCAUGUCACAUACAUCUUGGUGGAGCGCUCAAAAUGAUAGAAAUUAAAACACAUGCACUCAUCACCAAGCAAAGUGAAUGAUCAUAAGAGGAUAUAAAGAUAAUAUCAUCCAACAAGCAUUAAGGGUAGCAUAUGAUCAAACACAUGAUCAAACAAGUAUCUCACAAGGACAUAAAGUUUCAAACCAAACCAAAUAAGUGCAAAGAGAGAAUAAAAAGGCAACACUCUCUCUCGAAGCCUAUGAUCUAUACAUUUUUCUCCCCCUUUGGCAACAAGUUACCAAAAAGUUCAAAAAUUCAUAGUGCUAAAUGACUCUCAGGCUUGAUCUUCGGGAGGUGGUGUUGAGAGAACUCCAAGGACGAAGGCUUCAGAUGAAGUAGCUGGAGCUGGUGGAGUAGCUGGUGGAGGUGGAACUGGAGCUGGAGCUGCUGGUGCUGAUGCUGUAGCUCUGGUGUCUGUCACUGGCACUGCAGCAGAUUUCUGUCCUCUGGGCACUCUAGCAAAAGCAUCUGUGGUAGACUUGCCCUUCUUCUCCUCCGCUUCCUCCUGAAGUUGCUCAACUGCAGUUUGGAUUUCUGUUACCUUGACAUCAAGGUCAUAGAAUUUCUGCUCAAAGAUCCUCUCCAGACUCUCUUGGGUGGCCAAGCCCUUCUCAAUCCUCAGGGUGGAUUGGAUCAGAUAUCCAAGCUGGUCUUGCUUGCUCUUCAAGAAUACCUGAGAUGUCUCCUCUACUUGGCAUCUUUGCAGCCUUCUCUGCCUUAGCCUUCUCUCUCUUUUCAUGUGCUUGAGCUGAAGAUGGUUCAUUCUCAUUCAUCACUACUGUGUUAUCUUCAAAUUCAGGAUAGAUGGGCAGGUGCUCUUUGUCCAAAAGAUAUGUGCCUGUGCCCAUCUUUGAGUUGAUGGGCUCCUGAAUGUGUGGGGCAUACCUACAACUUCUCUUCUGGUCAGCAGCAGUCCUCUUGAUUGUCUCUACAAUCAGGCUCAUAACUUUGAACUUCUGUGGGACAUCAAAUAUGUGCAGCAAGUUGAUGGCAUGUCCUCUGAUCAUCUUGUGAUCACCUGACUUGGGUAGCAGUGUGUGCCUUAAGAUCCAGUUUAUGGUUGGCAGACCAGACAACAAGUAGUGUACAGAUCCAAACUUAUGUGUAUCCAAAGCAGCAUCUGGGAUAUCUUUGUACAUGUUGGCCAUAGUGUUGUGGUCUUUCUUCUUCUCUGCAUAAAUGUCCAAGUCUGUUCCUCAGGAGAAUUUAUAAGCUUGGCCCAUUCCUCAACUGUAGACGGGUACCUAGUACCCUCAGACAUCCAUACUAUCCUUCCAUCUGGAUAGAAGUGUGCAGUGGAGUAGAAUUGCAUGAUGAGCUCAUCAUUCCACUUGGUGAGCUUCUGGGCAACAAGAGUGUCCACCCCACAUGCCUUGAAGCUAUCAAGCACACCAGGGAAGUGAUCCUCAUUUUCCUUGAUGAAUUCCCAGUCAACCCAUCUCAUAUCACACAAUGGGCUUCUUGUCAAGCAGAAUAGUCUCAUAGAAGUCCUGCUGUUCCUUAGUGUGAAAUCUGUAGUCCACAGCAAUCCUUCUCCUGAUAGCAUAUGGAUCAGACUGUCUCCAUAGUCUUAAUCCUGCAUCCUUCCUGAUUUUCAUGUUCUUUGCAACUGGGUGUGCAUCAGUGUGGUCAGGGAUCUUGGGCUUCAGCUUUCUCAAAACAACAGAAUCAUCAUCUUCUUCUUCAGCAGUUUGAGGCACUGGGGCCUUGUUCUUCUCUUCAGCAGGUAUGUUCCUGGUGCUUCUCUUGGGUUUUGGUUUUGGAGCUGGAGCAGCAGCCUUGGGAGCAGCUUUGGGCUUUGAAGGAGCAGCCCCUGAUUUAAUUGCAUCUCCCAUAAGCUUUUGUGCUUUGGGUGCUGGUGCGGCAUCCUCUUCCUCUUCCUCUUCUUCAGACUCUCUCAUAAUUGAUGGCUUCCCAAUAACUCUGGCAAUGGUCUUCUUGACCCUUUCUUUUCUCUUCUUGCCAUCUCCAGUUUCCUUGGGUUCAAGAGUGAACUCCAUUGUUUCUUGAGUGGAGGCUCUGGCUUUUGACAUUGGAACUCUUCUUGCUGGAGCCUUUGUUUUCAGUCCAGGCUUUGUUGCAGCAGCUGUGCCAUACUCCUUUUUCAGCACCUUUUUCUUUGAAGUGGCUUCAUCUUCAACAACCACAUAAUCUUCAUCCUCAGAGUCAGAAGUUUUCUUCUUCCUAGUCCUGGUGGCAGCCUUUGGUAGAUUGCUUGGAGUGCUCCUGCUGCCUUCAUCAUAGCUGCUAGAGGGAUCUGAACCCUCACUCAUCUGCACCUGUUGCUCAGACCUGUUCUGACUAUCACUCUGGUCGACAUCUCUGCAAAUACUCUGACAGCAGACCCUGUGAAUAGGUUAUAGAUGAGGUAGAGUAGAUGAGCAUCACAAAGUACACGAGUUUUGCAAAAUGGAUGACUUAAAAACUUAGUUUUAGUUCUUCACAGAAAGCAUUUCGGAUCUACCGAUUUGUAAACUCGGUGAUACCGAAGCAGCUUUUGGAACCUAAACUAGUGAACUCAGUCAGACCGAGUCACAGUUCGGUGGUACCGAGACUGCUAGGGUUUCACAGAGAAUCGAACUCGGUCACACCGAUUUGCAAUUUUUGGUCAGACCGAAAACGCAUGUGCACUGGCCUAAGCCAAAAUCGAUGAGACCGAUUUCUACAACUCGGUCGGUCCGAGACGAAUUCGGCGGAGAUCUAACCCUAAAUUUUCAAAUCAAAACUAAUCUACGGGAUGUUUUCGCUGGACAGGAUGAUUUCAAUCAUGGCAAGAAUCAUGGCAAAGCAAUGUGCUAAGAAUCGGAGUUAAGGAUUAGCACAAAGUUCAAGUUCGUACCCUAGUUCGGCGACGAACUUGCUACGGCGGCAACAGCAGUGGAGAUUUCCGUUGACGGCGGCAGAGACCAACGACGGGAGGUCGCUAGCGACGAGAGGACGAUCCGGAGACCCGAGGAGGCAGAGUAGGUUACGCGCGGGCGAGGAGGUUUGAAUUUUUUUUCCAAAAUUUGGCCCGUCGGUAUAUAUAACCUGACCCUGUCGGUGUGACCGAGUGGAACGAUUCGGUGGCACCGAGAUGCAAAACUGCAAGCAGUUACUGCAACUCGGUGUGACCGAAAAGUUCUAAUCGGUUGCACCGAGAUUGAAAACCCUAGAUCAACUUAGUGACUCGGUAGGACCGAAAAGGAUGAAUCGGUCAGACCGAGAUGCACAAAGAGGUUUUGGAGGUUUAGUCUAUGAUGAAUUGGGAACUCCGAGUGCUCCUCACACAGAGUGGUUCGAAUCUGACUUGAUCAAACUUUGUGAUGUAGCAUGAAUAGAGUUUGAGACGAGAAAAGCAUAGAUAGCUAGAGGGAGUUCUUAGGCAUUCUUGUUCAUCCAUUUGGCAAAAGAGAAAGAGCCAAACAAUCAAAACAACAAAUGGAUGUCCUCGAAUGAGUAAAAUAUGCAACCAACAUGCUCACACAAUAAAAUGGCAAAUGAAAUAUGUGACAAAGCAUGCACAAACACUCUAGCAUCUAUCAAGCAGUUUGGUGAUGACUAAGUCAUCUAUAUAUGAGUAUAUUGACAUAGGAGUCAAAUGAGAACAUUUGAUCAUAGGUCAUACUCAUCGUUUAAGCACAAGUGGGGUUACCACUUUUACAUAAAGCAUUGUUGUGUUCACACCAUUAGAGUUGCUUUAGCUCAAUUGAUUAGAGUAAAGCUCCCCCUAGAUGUGAUAUCCCCCCUAAGAGGGAUGAACUAACCUUGGGUUUUGUCGAUGAUGACUUCAUGUAGGUGUUGAAGAUGUAGAUGCUCAAUGUUGAUGUAGAUCAUGUGGAGCAAUCCUUUGGAGUGAGUUGCACUUUCAAUACCUACACGGGUUAGUCCCACAAGGAACAAACAAGGAUAUCCAUAGACAUAGAGUGAUGCAUACACAAGAUGAUGUCCAUGAAAGCAUUAGGUUACCUUGUCCCUUGUCUUACCAACAAGAGGGUUUGUGACUCCUUGAACUAGUGCAAGAUAUGGAAGUUGUUUGCACUUGUCCUUGCCAAAAUGAUAAGAGUGAAGUAUGUUGGCGGAGUCACCCUCAAGAACUCUCUAAUUCUUCUUCUUCUGGAUCCACACCAUCUUGAUGGGAAUCCUUGGAGUUGUAGUUGUACUUGAUGAGGUAGAACUUGAUGUAGUCUUGGGAACCCACUUGACCAAGGCCUUAGGUGCUUCUUCAUAUGCAUCAAUUUCCUCUUGAAGCUCGUCCUUGCCUUUUUGCUUGUGGUCUUGUGGUGGAAGAUCAUCUUGAGCUCGUGUCCCUUUGAAAGAAGUAGGAUCAUAAUUCUCUUGUUGAGGAACAAACUUCGUCUUGGGGUAUUGAUCUUCUUCCCACUCAACUCCAUUGGCAUUGAACUUUCGUUCAAAACCAACACCUUGAUUCUUCCGGUGUCUUCCUUGCUUGCGCACAAUUUCCUCAAAUUGCUUACUUUCGGCAAGGCUCUUGUAAACACCUUUCUCUAUAAUGCCCUUCAAUAAGCUAUUUUCUUACUCAAGUGUAACUUGGCUAAGAGAAUCAUUAGUGGAAUCAAGAGAAUUACUAGAAGCAACAACAUUGGAUUUAGCAUGAUUGUUGUUACUACUAGAUGAAGCAUCUUUCUUGUUCUUGUUACUAGAUUUAACUUGUGGCAUGUAAGUAGACAAGAGUAAACGCUUGGCAAUGUAAGAAGAACUUUUCUUGCGAAGAUCACCAUUGAUUGCCUUUAAAAAUUCACGCUCUUGCUCAAGGUUGAGCUUUUCAAAGCGUAGCUUAUCAUGAGUCUUUAAAAGUUGUCGAUGAUUUUCCAAGGUAGUUUCAUGAGCUAACUUAAGAGUGUUUAGUUCUUGAGUUAGACGCUCAAUCUCCUUCUUAUCAUCAUCAUUCGUUUUAUCUUGAUUAGCAUGAUUAAUUGACGUUUCAUCAUAGUCUUCAUCACUAGAGUUGUCAACAAGUAAAUCAUCAUCACCUAGCAAAUCAUCUUCAUCACUAUUGAAAUCAACAUACUCGAGAUGUGUUACCUUUGGACCUUUGGCCAUGAAGCAUCUUCCAAUUCCUUCAUUUGGUGAGUCAAAUAUGUCGUAGGAGUUGGUUGACACAAGUGCUAGACCGGCAACACCUUCAUCUUGAGUAUAUUCGGAGUCGGAGUGAUAACUUCUUUCGGAGUGAUUGUCGGAGUCGGAGCCGGAUACCCAUUCACCAACAUGAGCUUGAUGUCUUCUUUUUGUGUAGCUCCUUGAUGACUUUUCUUUCCUUUCCGAAUCCUUGCUUCUCCGAGAGGGUUUUCGUUCAUAACGAUCAUCUCUACUCCUCCUUUCUCUUGGUGGUGAUUCUUCUCUUCUACUUCUUCUUUUGGGAGAAUCUUCUCUUCUUUUGUAGGGGGCCGUACACUCAUUGGAGUAGUGUCCGGGUCUUCCACAAUUGUAGCAAUUUCGCUCACGACUAGAAGAUCUUUUGUCAUUGUAGGACCUUGACUUGGAACUUCUUUCUUUUCUUCUACUCCUGUAGAACUUGUUGAAGUUCUUUACCAUUAGGCUCAAUUCUUCAUUUAAGGUUUGCUUCUCACUUGAUGAUGUGGGAGCAUCACACGGGGCUUUGUAAGCACCACUUGACUUGUUGUGAAGCUCUUCCUGUGACAUCUCAUGAGCAACAAUUCUUCCAAUGACUUCCGUUGGCUUGAGAUCUUUGUAAUUGGGCAUCAUUUGGAUCAAUGUGCACACGGUAUCUUAUUUCCCAUCCAAGGAUCUUAGGAUCUUCUUGAUGAAUUUGUCGGUCAUCUCUUCACUUCCUAAGCCGGCAAUCUCAUUUGUGAUGAGAGCAAGCCUAGAGUACAUUUCAGCGACACCUUCACCAUCCUUCAUUUUGAACUUGUCAAGUUGACUUUGAAGCACAUCCAAUUUGGAUUCCUUGACGGAGUCGGUACCUUCGUGCAUAUCAAUCAAAGUAUCCCAAAUUUCCUUUGCAUUCUCAAGACGGCUGAUUUUGUUGAAUUCUUCGGGGCACAAUCCAUUGAAGAGAAUAUCACAAGCUUGAGCAUUGUGUUGUAGCAUCUUCAACUCUUCCGCGGUAGCUUCACGAUUAGGUUCUUUCCCAUCGAAGAAUUCACCUUGCAAGCCAAUACACACAAUAGCCCAAACGACGGGGUUAUGUCCAAGAAUAUGCAUUUUCAUCUUAUGCUUCUAACUAGCAAAAUUUGUACCAUCAAAGUAAGGACCUCUACGGUGGUAAUUUUUCUCGCUAGACGCCAUACUCUCCUAGGUUAUGAAACCAAGGCUAUGACCACCAAAAGCUAUGGAAAUCAAAGCAAAUGGAGACCAAAGCUCUGAUACCACUUGUAGGAUCGGAAGUAUGUUUAGAGGGGGGUGAUUAGACUACUUGACCAAAUAAAAAUCUAGCCUUUUCCCAAUUUUAGUUCUUGGCAGAUUUUAGCAACAUAGCACAAGUCAAGCAAUCAACCUACACAUGCAAUUCUAAGAGUAUAGCAGCGGAAUGUAAAACAAUUGCACAUGAAGGUAAAGGGAGGAGUUUGAGGGAGCAAACGCAAUGUUGACACAGAGAUUUUUUAUCCGUGGUUCCGAUAGGUGGUGCUAUCGUACAUCCACGUUGAUGGAGACUUCAACCCACGAAGGAUAACGGUUGCGCGAGUCCACGGAGGGUCCACGAAGAAUCAACCUUGUCUAUCCAACCAUGGCCGUCGCCCACGAAGGACUUGCCUCACUAGGGUAGAUCUUCACGAAGUAGGCGAUCUCCUUGCCCUUACAAACUUCUUGGUUCAACUCCACAAUCUUGACGGAGGCUCCCAAGUGACACCUAGCCAAUCUAGGAGACACCACUCUCCAAGAAGUAACAAAUGGUGUGUUGAUGAUGAACUCCUUGCUCUUGUGCUUCAAAUGAUAGUCUCCCCAACACUCAACUCUCUCUCAUAGGAUUGGAUUUGGUGGAAAGAAGAUUUGAGUGGAAAGCAACUUGGGGAAGGCUAGAGAUCAAGAUUUAUGUGGUUGGAAUGGAAUAUCUUGACCUCAACACAAGUGUAGGUGGUUCUCUCUCAGAAAAUAUGUAUUGGAGGUGUAGGCAUGUUCUGAUGGCUCUCUCCACGAAUGAAGAGUGGGUGGAGGGGUAUAUAUAGCCUCCACACAAAAUCUAACCGUUACACACAAAUCACCAAACUCGGUGGGACCGAUUCAGAGAACUCGGUCAGACCGACUUGGUUCAUAAUGUGACCGUUAGGUGUUUCGGUGGGACCGACAUGUCAACUCGGUGGAACCGAUAUAUUAGGGUUAGGGCAUAACGUAAUCUCGGUGCAACCGAUUUUGGUAAUAGUCAAACAGAGAGUUGGUCAGGCAAACUCGGUGGGACCGAUUCGCUCAUCUCGGUGGGACCGAAACGUUACGAAAAGGAAACAGAGUGUUUGCAUUGCAAUCUCGGUGGGACCGAUCGCUCAUCUCGGUUGGACCGAAACGUUACGAAGGGAAACAGAGAGAUUACAAUCCCAUCUCGGUGAGACCGAGAUCCCUAUCGGUGAGACCGAAAAGACUAGGGUUUUUGGCAGUGGCUAUGUCAACUGAACUCGGUGGCUCCGGAUAGAAAGAAUCGGUGGGGCCGAGUUGGAUAUUUGUGGAUGUGAGAAAGUAGUGGAGGGUUUUGGAGCAUAUCACUAAGCAUUUUGAGCAAGACCCUCAUUAAGCAACACCUCAUCCCUUCUUAAUAGUAUUGGCCUUUUCCUAUAGACUCAAUGUGAUAUUGGAUCACUAAAAUAGAAAACGAGAGUCUUGUGCUUUGAGUUUGAGCCAAUCUUUUGUCCUUAGCAAUUUGAAGGGUCCACUUCCUAAUCCAUGCCAUGCCAAUCAUUGAGCUUUCCUGAAAUAUUCAUCUUGAAAUAGCAUUAGCUCAAUGAGCUAUAUGUUGUUAGGAAUUACCAAAACCACCCAGGGAUAGUUGCACUUUCACAACUGCCAACACAACAUGAUGGCAACUAACACAGAUAGAUGGCAAAUCUUUUGCCUUCAUUCCCCUUCAACUUGUUGACUGAAGGACUCUACAUGAGCUACUUUUUUCAACAUAGCAUGAUGGCAACUGACAUAUUUUCUUUUUAUUUGUGUAUACCAGCUCAUGUAUGUUGAUCGUCUUGAUCUGUCCACCGUCGACUUUACUGGGAUAGGUGGCCCGCCGCCUCCACAUAAGUUUGAUGUCUCUGCGUGGACGUACGAUACUGUCAAGGCUGUGCUUGCCGCAGACAGGAGAACUGAGACGAAAUAUGGGAAACUACAGGUUAGUUCUGCCUCCUUUCUUGCACGGCAUUGUUCAAUUUCGAUGCUGCAUAACAUAUGAAAAAAAACCCAUACGGCAACCACCUGUGGCUAACAAGAGAUGAAUACCUUGUUAGCCAUGGCUGUCUGCGCAUGACACCCAUGUCUAAUCCCACGCGGCAACUCCGCCAUCCGUGAUGAAACUUCUUAUUUCUCCCUCUUUUUUUGCAAUACAUGAAUUGUUAGUCACUGUUCCUUAUUUUUCUCUCUUACAUCUUAGUUGUUUUUGAUGAUUUCCAGCUGAUGGCCAAGCAUGCUAUAGACUACAUCGUGUUUGGUGGGGCUCAAAACUUUGGCAAGUGGAUGGAUGUGCAUUCAGCUCCAUCUUGUCCUGCUGAGGUAAUCAAGGAUGUUUAUUUUGUUUUUUGAAAUUGUUUUUCUCUUUUUUUUGAUAUAUCUCUAUGGUUGUUUUGGUUUAUUUGUUCUUGCGCACAUGACUCUAAUAUGGUUGGUUACUGUUGCUUUUUGUUUCGUGCACAUGCGAGGGCACCUGCUGAGCAUCUAGUUGGGCAGUUUGCUUCCGGCAUGACCAGCUUGCUUGGGAAGUUGGUUGAGGGUUGGACGACACUUAAUGGCUCUGACAGCGACGCGGUUGCGAGGCAGUUCACACCAUUUGUUGCAGAACGGACACAUCGGCCAACUGGUUGCCGUGGCCGGUACGACUACAACAGCUCCCAGGAGCUUCCUGACAUGCAAGAUGAACUAGAUGGAGAUGCUGGUCUCGACAAGGACGAUGAUGAUGACAUGGAGAAUGUGCAACAUGAAACCGACGACGAUGAACAUGUUGAAGUUCGUGCAGGUGGUAAGAAGGACAAGGCUGCAUCAGAUGUCCCCCCACCGGAGAAAGUCAUUGAACAGACAGUUGCGAGAGACAAGGGGGUGUCGCCCUCAAAGAGGGGCAGGGCUCCAGAGGAUGUUGGGCAGGGCUCUGUUGGCAAGAGGUCUAGGACCGAUCCCGUAGCUGCUAGGAGGAGGUUCGACAUAUAUUUUAGUGUUUUGUUUGUCUCUCCUUUUUAACAGACCGACCCUUUUUUCAUUGUUUGCUAAGUGUGGCAUGAUUUUUGUGUCUCACACGUGGUACCUUUUUUGCCAUUUUUUCUACGUGCAGUGAGGCGACAGCGGGUGGACGAGCAGUUACAAAGAAACAAGCACCAACGCCAACCCGUGUUUCUGCCCGAUUGAACAAGGGUGCUCCCAUUGCUGGUGACACCCCUUCCAUUAGGUCGUCUCCUCGUACAUUGAUGUCCAACACCGGGGAUCCUGUCGUGUUGGAAGACUUAAGGAAGACAGUCAAGAAGUAGGUUAUCCCUGUUUUUUCAUUGUCAUAGUGCUACAUUUUUGCUUGAUGCAUUCUAGAUCUUAUGCAACCUUUUUAGUUUAUACAUUUAUGCGGCAACUACCCAUCUGGUUUUCAAUGCAGCUGUCCAGCUUGCCACAUGGGCUACUGCCAUCAGUCCCAUAUGGGAACUGUUGUUUUCUCAUGAUCUAUUUUUUUGCUGCAUGGCAACUCCUGCUUGUUCUGCAUGGCAAUUGCUAACUAGGCCACAUGGCAAUUCUUAUUCCACUUAUAUGGCAACUACCGGCUUUCCACUGGCUUCCACCCCCCUACAUUGUCUUGUGUGCUCAUCCAUACCUAGUUCUCAAAUGGCAGCUCUGGCACAUCACAUAUUUUUUUCAUUUUUAAGAUGGCUACCAUGGCAACUAUUUUGUUCGAAUUUUUACACUCUUCAUGUACUUUUCUUGCAGGGUGAAGAAGACUACCACACGCGUGACCAAGCAGAACUGUAGAGACCCACUUGAACGCAUUCAUUUGAAGCCGUCGACAGGUGGCAACUCAGAUGUUCAUGAGGCGCCAGUCGACAAAACUGCUGCUGCACCGUCCACUAUUCCCACUAGCUCUGAUGCAAGCAGCCGACCAUCUCCGCCGGUUGUAGAUGUGCAUGCUACAACAACAGGCAUCCGUACAUCUGGGGGUGAUGAGUCAAUAUCUGCCAGGACUGCUGAGAUAUUGCCCACUCUGCUGGCAAUGAGGGAUGCUGCUGUGCCCCAUGCCACCCGAUCAGCAAGUGUUGAAGUGGACGCUCCAGAUAUCAACCUAAGCAAGGAAGAUUCCCGCUCAUCUGAUACGGAUUCCAAGCGUGUGGCUGGUGGCACUUCUGCGUCCAUAAAAGAAGGUGCUGCGGUGACAAUUCAGAAUGAGAUGCCAUCCACAGGUGAGACUCUUGGCACAACAGCUCCAGCUUCUGGUGGUCCAGAGGUUGCUACGGCGACCGUUUCGCGAGCUGGUCUUCCACCUAGGCGGCGUAGCCCCCGCAAGCAAUCUGCAGACAUACCCAACGCACCAGCUGUAGCUAGGAGCAGCAGAGAUGACUCUGGUUAUGUGCCUGCGUCCACACUGUUCCCACCACCUGCCAAAAGCAAUGUUAUGGAGAAAACGGAAGUCCGGAGUACAACUGACGCAGGUGGCAAGCCGGGCACGACUGACGGAGGUGAACGUCCGGAGCAGACGUCUUUACCCGCCGUGGAGAACCCCAGCUUAAAUCUGCACACUUCUAAGCUCCCAGUCAACAUUGGUGUCCCAUACAGCCCAAACAAGAAGAUUGGCAAGAAAGUUGCGGUUCAUACCGCUGGCAGCACGCCCCGCCCUACCAAUAAGCCUGAUGAUACUGCAGCAGAUGAGGCAGAAAUGUUUGUUGAUCUGUCACCCCUGGAUUCUGCGAAGCAACUUCCUCGCGAUCCGGCUGGUAAGGAGGAGAGGCACCCAAUGGCCUUCACCCCACCGAGCUGUAGCCUUGGCAUCGAUCACUGUCAAGAUGAACCAGUGGUGCAAGAUCCUAUGCCAGUUGCCUUUGCUUUCCCGGCAGGCAUGGCCCCAAUGAUGGCGCAGCCAAUGGCUGAUGGCAGGAAGACUGUGAAGUUUGCAGAGCCGAUAGUGCAAGGUACAUUUUUUGUGUGUUUAUCAUUUUGUUUUUUACAUUUUUUUAGUCUGACGUUUGUCACAAGCUUUUUUUGGUUUCUCACUUGUGAUGGCAAAUCUCAUCUGAUGCACAUGGCAAAUGGAGUUGCUGCACCAUGCCACCUAUAGUUUGUUGCCAUGUUGCAAUUCCAUUCGCCAAGCACAUGUCAACUGGAGUCGCUGCAACAUGGCAACUUCAGUUCAAUGUACUUGGCAACUGUAGUUGUUGCCACAUGGCAACUACAGUGCACUACACAUGGCAACUCACUAUUUUUUUGCACCUACAUUUCAUAUUCUGCACCCUUUCUUUCACAAUAAACUUGUUUUGUUUCCAGGUAUCCUAACCCACUGUUUCAUCCUCGCAGCCACCCCUGAAGAGAUUAUGCCGUCACUUGAUGAAGCUUACCGCAGGGUUGAGGAGGCAACAUUGCAGAGGAGGUCCUCACAAGGUCAGGGGCAAUCAAGUUCUAACGUGCCUGCUGAGUCGGUAACCGAGGAUACCGUUAGAAGUGCCACCCCUGAUUCUGUGAGGCAGCAUAGGGUAGUUCACGCACCACCCGCGGAUGACUAUGAGCCCGAAGUCAAGGCCACAAAGGAGCAGAACCAACUGUAAGAUAUUGUCAAGCAUUUUGGAAAUGCGAGGUCCAACAACAAGUACAUGAAGGAGCUGAAAGCGUAAUGUCCACACCACAUAACCCCUCACUUGCUUUUCUCUUAUUUGUUUCCUUUUGCUAUUCUAGCCAUGCUUUGUUUACGUUUUAUUUCUAUUUUACUUAGUAGACAUGAUUCUUUCAUGUUAUAUCAUUUUCAUACAGCUCAUGUUUGGACAGAACCAAGAUCAUACAAUGUGAUGCGACGUACGUUGACCUGGGUGAUCUUGCCGAGUCUAUGAGGCCACUCGGUAAAAUGUCGAAGAAUGUAGUUGCGUGUGGGAUUGACUUCAUCAACAGGCAUAUGGAUAUUUGUCCCGACAAAACGAUCAUGUAGUAUAGUGUGACCUGCAAAAUAUGGGAUGGUGACUUCCACCAUAAAAUGCUGAGGAAGCAUUUUGCGGCGCAUGGUGAAUUCAAGCUCACAAUGUAGAAAUGUGUGAGUGUUCCUUCCUUUUUGCACAUUCUCCUCCCAUGCUAUGUUUUGUCAGUAGCUACGCUUCACAUGUGGGCUACACACUAUUUUGUGACAGAUGUUUCAUGUGGCAACAGCUGCCAUGUAAAAUGAGUUUGACUGCUUUUUUUAAUGCAACUUAUGUGGCAACUUUAACUAAAAUACUGGGCAACUUUGUUCAUACAUGGAUGGCAACUUCUUUUAAUUACACAUGGCAACUAAACAUUCUCCGUGGGUGUACUUUUGGACACUUGCUGCUUUUGUCAUUCAUGUACCUCUUAGUGCAUCCGGCACUAUCUUUACACAUCAUUUUUCCAACUACAUCAUUUCUGUUUUUGAUGUGAACUCUGCUUUUUCUUUCCUUUAUUUUACUUGCAGGUCCUAUUCCCCAUGUUCCAGGAGCUUUCACCAAACAACCUAGAUGACAAGUGUGGUCACCACUACGCGAUUUUCCUUGACCUAAAGAACCAACGAUUUGAGGUGUUUGAUUCAAUGCGUCCAAAAGCUGAUGAAGACCUUACUACGCAUGCUGAAUACUUCAUCAACAACCUCAAAGAGACAUGGAACCGUCACUACGAAAACUCAAAGGUCUAGAUCAGACAUUUUCCAAUCGAGUACGUCGCGACUACGAAGCAAGGAAACCGGUAAUAACUCUUUUUUUUCAUGUGUCCUCUACACCAAUCCUAAACCUUUUGACACCUCUGCAUUGAAGUUUACAAUUUUUUCUGUUCUCUUGAGUUCACCUGAUUCUUUUCUUUUAUAGGCACUACUGUGGCUUUCACACAUUGGAAUACCUUGCAAAGUGGGAAGGUUGACGGGUCCCUGUCGUCACAGCUGCAAUGGUCGUCGAGCUCCGCAAAAUAUACACAUGGAACUGGUUGAGGAAUGAAGAUUUCAACAUGCGGGCCAACGCACGAGAGUUCAUAGAGAAAGCUGUCAAGAAAGCCAACAAGAAGUACAAGUGACCACGUGGUGCUCCAUACCGCACGCCUACCUUACAUUCUGUUGCUGAGGAAUGUAAGGUAUCAACUUGUUCUUUUAAAACUAUGUCCGUGUACUAUGUUAUGACUGCAUCUCCCCGUAGCCUAGUAUAUAGUGGUGGCGUGUGAGUGACAUUGAAUAUUUGUAAUAUAUGUGUGGAUGUGAACCUACUUAGGUGUGACAGCAGCUACGUUUAUGUUUUCAGUAUUUAUUUUGUGUUCGUGGUUGGUAGUACCAGUUGGGUGUUUUGAAUGCGUCUAUGAUGCCUGAAAACAUGGCAAAUGUAGUUGAUCAGACACGGUUAGUGAAAGUAAUCGUUCUUUUCGUUU
rnacentral:lncRNA from 1 species